UCAAGUUAGGUUUUUAACAAUAAAAUAUUCCGUUAUUUCCUUCUUAAAGUUGAAAGUAAGCCAAUCCAAGUAAAAUUUGUACCAACACAGCUAAUAAAAGUAAGUUAUAGAAAAGCCUUGGAUCCUCAAUUGUGUCAAAUGGUACUGCCAUAUUGUCUCCACCGAAAUUAUACAUCUCAUUGGAACUUAACUUAGCAUAACAGGUUAAUUUAGGAGAUUUAGGUAAGCAAAGCUUCAAAAUAGGAGUACUCCUAUCCUGCUUAGACGUUCUCCAUGACUCCAAUAACAAGGAUGCAUUCUCUCAAUCUUGAAAGUUCGGAGGGAAUUGAGAAGGUCCACUUCCUCGUAGUACUAAUGCAUACAGGCUGGUGUGAUUGGACAUUUUCAAAGAACAAGUACAAAAGCACAACAACUACUUACCGGCUUCAUUAUAGACAUGGUACCAUUUCCACUUGUAUUCAGUAUAGCCCCUCAUAGUCUAUGUACACAAUGUGAUCUAAGAACUACUACGCAAGGUUAAUGCUUGUUGGGAUGAAAUGCUGCGUCUCAUAACAUUUGCUACUGAUUUUUAUUUUCUUUAAGUUGACAACUUGGCAUAAAACAUCAUCUCCAAAAAAAAGAAAGUGUUGCACAAUUGGUACUUCAUCAAAUUGUGUGUAUCUUUGUCUAUCUAAGUUUUGCUGUGCUUCCAAGGAUCUGUUAUUUCCACCUCCGGACCAAACAAUAUCUAAACCACUUGUAAAAUGCCUUCAGUCAAACUCAUUAAAAACUGCAGUUAUUGGUAAAAAUUGAAUUCAUAGGAACGGAUAUAAAACAAAAUAAGGGAUCCCUGAUCCUUUAGCUCCGAUAAAAGCUUGAGAACACACUUGGAAUGACUAAUGGUCAAUCCGUUGUAAAAGUGGACAUAAAAUCUGAUGAAUAUGAUACCAUUUUGAUAAAGGAGAAGAAAAUUAAUCACGAAAAGAGCGACAGAGAUUAUGUGCAGAUCAGGAGCGAAUUUUGAUGGUUAAUGUACCUGCAACUUGAGAGCUCAUGAAGCUCCUCGCUGGGGGACAAAAUGACCAGUGCAACCUCUGCAUCACAAAGAACAGAGAUAGCUCAAAGGCCUUCUUGAGAACUCCCCUUCUCCUCUUUGACAAUGUCACUUGUCUACUUGUUGCACUUUCUAUCCUCUCAAUCUGAGUUUUCCCUCUCAACAUUCUUACAAUUUUAGAUAAGAAACGAGGCGCAAAAUUAAAUCCACCGACAACCCUGAAAGAGAAAUCAAUGAUUCGAUAAAGGGUCAAAGUGCAAACAACAAAAAACACUUGAUCAAGAAAAAUCUAAAAUAACCACAUGAACAAAAAAGUUUCCCAAAAAAGGAAAGAAUCCGGAUGGAGUGGUACUGAUUGACCUCAAAAAAUGGAAAACCAGACAAAUCCUUUUCUGGGAAAACUCAGAUCUGCAGGAUGGGAGAUGACAGAAGCUGGAAAAUAUUGGGUAGGCAAGACACUAGUAGAAACCCUAAAAAGAGAUUUUUCGGGCAAGAUGUACAGAGAAAUGAUAGUCUUCAAAAUCUUUACAGUCUUUUUCUAUUUCUUCUCUUUAAGUCUCAAAUCUCAACCACAGAAUAAUCAGUAAAGCGUGUGUUUUCUUUCUUUCUUGGGAUAAAACUAAACGACGUUUCAUUACCAGAUGAUUUUGUGCGUACAAUUUUGGCAAGAUUCACUGUCCGUCCAUGUCUUUUGUGUCAGCCUCCGACCAAUAACUAGGCGCCAGCUCAGCGUCGUUAAUACUGCGUCACGUGCUCGUGUACGCGUCUGGCUGCACGCGUCUGGCUGCCGCCUAUUACCACUUGUUAAUGACUCUGACUUUUUUUUUGCCAUUUGCAUUUUCUGUGGUACGAAUUUUUCUACUAUGAGAAGUGUCUCAUCGUCCUUUGUUUGGUAUGGUUAGCUGGGACCUGCCUUUCCUUUGAUUUUUUUUUUUUGCUGGGAUAAUGUAUUGGUAUAUUUUUUAAAAUCUUGACCGCGAAAAUAUUUGCAAGUCAUUUAUUAUGUUACGCUUUUCUAUAUAUUGGGACCUAUAGAACAGUGUUGUUAGACCUGGAUCAGAUCAAUCCGUCUAUUCAUGAAUCGAUCUUCUUUUGAGGUGGGUAAUAGUACAAAAUCAUUUUUGUUAAAAAUCAGUUAAAAUCGUCAAAAAUUAGUUAAACCAGUGAUCCGGCUUGACUACUUGACCUAGUUCUCAAACUUUUUUCUUCCUGUUUUCUCCAAACACCAUUUGAACUACCUAAAUUGUAAAAUUUUCAUUUAUUAAUAGGAAUAAGAAAACGCUACCCACUUAGUGCAAACAUCAAAAUUAUUCAAUUUUCUAAUUGUUUCUCUAAAUCAAGAAAUUUUCAUCUUUAUCAUUUUAUCAAUUUAUCACCAGUGAUUCUAACUUGCAUUAUAACGCCAUUUUCCCAACAAAAAUAUAUUGAAUUGGGUAUGAUGUGCUUUAAUUUAGACAUGUGUUUUGGUACGUUUUGUAUGGUUGGUUGAAUAUAAUCAAGAAUUUAAUUUUAAAAUUUCUGAAACUUAUAAAAAUAUAAAAAUAAUUAUGACAUUAUGCUGACAUCAGCUAUUUUUAGAACGGAUCAACCAAUCCGACCAAUUGACUCUUGAUUCAGUAGUUUAGCCGACUCAUUAUUCAGGGCAAGUUUAACGACAUUGCUAUAGACUGAAUAAAUGAGAAUUGAACUUGCCACAUACUCACAACGGAGAGUUGAAUGUCUUUCAAGACAAUGUGGCACCUAGAGAAGGAAUAAAGGAAAAUUGAGUAUGCCAUAUAAUAAGAAAAGUUAAAUGUAUUUCAUAAUAAAGUAGCAACAUGUGAAGGUUAAUCUGUAGUGAUAAAAUCAAAAGUUGAGAGAGGUAAAGCUAAUAAAAUAUACAUUUGAGGUUGUUGAGAAGGAUUUGAUCCAAGACUCCAAUUAGAUUGAAGGAAAGGGAAGAAAAGAAAAGGAGUGAACUCUAGUAGACAAGAAAUGAAAGUGGACUCCAUCAAUCUUGUUUGAAUUAAAUACCAAAGGAAAAGAAUGGAAACAUUGAAAAUAUUGUUUGGAUUACAGAAGGCAUGAAAAGGAAAGAAACUAUUAGCAUUUGUUGCAUUUUUAUUUAUAAUUUAAGAAUCUAAUUUGUAAACACAUAGGUAUUUUAGAACAUUUUAAAAUUUUCAUUCAUCUUAUUUUCUUUUUCCUCCAUUUUCGUGCACUUUUGGAUGUAAGACAGGCUAAUAAAAAAUAACUAGAUAUUAUCCCUUUACCUCCCUAUCCUUUACCCUCCCUAUUCAAAAUUCAAUCAAGUAUCAAAAACUUCAUUGCACCAUUUCCUUUCCUUCCUCUCUUAUCUCCUCAAAACAAAUAAUUUAAUAUUAAAAGUUAAUAUUGAUAUCCAAGAAUUAUAGGUUUUAGAUACAAAUCCUCUUAUUAAAUCCCAUCUUUUUCUUGAUAAUUUUUUUAAAUAUCUAUGAGGUACCCUUGAAUAUUUGUAAAGCGCUUUUUAAAAAUAUAUAUGAGGUACCCUUCAAUAUUUAUAAAGGGCUUAUGGGUAAAAUCUAAUUUUUAGAAGGAUAUAAUUUUGACAUCUUAAGUAAAUAUAGCGCAGUUUAUUUCAUCGCCCGUAUUCUUUUAUCAGCCAGUGACCCUAUUAACAUCUAUUGCCAGUGAAAUGCGCACCCAAUCUUUUGUAUCAUAAAAGCAUUUUGCAUGUUGUAACUUUUCGGAUACUGUCUUGUAAUUGGAAACUGAAAAAUAUAAAAUUGUUUCUUUUCUCAUUCAUUGGAGUAUUUACUAGAGGAGAUUUAACUACUUAAUCGUGGGAUGAUUUUUAAAUUUAAGAAAUUAAAAAAUGAGAAGAAGACAAAAUAUAACACGUGGCCCUUAAAACUUCUAUGGAUUUCCGUCCUAAUCUUGUAUUUUUUUUAUUAAUUUUUUUCUUUAUAAAACACUGCUUCCCUUAUUCUAUGACGAAGAAAAAAGGGCAAAAUUUAAUGCUACUAUAUUUUGAUAAUUUUAAAGGUAAUUCUAUAAAAUUAGCUUUGAACGGCAUAAUAAGGCAGUAGGCUAAUAGGAUUUUAUAAUCAAAAAGCAUGUAGCCAUACACAACUCUGUUCUCAUCUUCCAAGCAUUGUGUCCCAAACAUUGUCUGAAGAUUGGACCAACACAUAGAAGAGGAAUGACCAAUUGCAAUACAAGUAGCUUAUUCAAUGCAUCGUCCAUCAAUAAAGAAGUGGCUUUUGCCUCAUAAUAAGUUCAGCACAGCAUGAAAUAACAUGUCUUUUACUAAAAGAAAAGUAAGAUAUACUACAAAAGAAGUAAAGAAAACAAAUUAUACAAAAUCAAGUAGAUUGAUAAAUUGUUUAUUUUUGCUUCUUUUUUUUUUGACAGUUUUAACGAUUAGGAAGUCCGAUAAACAGCUGCGUUUCUACCUCUUUUACUUGUUCCAGUGAUGAGAAUUGUUGACCAAUCGAUAGUUCCAAUUGUCGCUCUUCAUACUGCAAAUUCAUUUUUCGAAAAAAAAAAUAAAUAAAUUACCAAUAAAUAGCUUUGGCAUAUGCAAACUAAACAUUAAUGGUAGUAAUACAGAGCUUAAAUCCUCAACUUUUGAUUACAUUAUUGUUACCAUUAAAACUUAUACAAUAUGUGAAUUUGAAAUAAAGGUUUGUAGCUUCAGACCUUAUCUAAUACCCUUUUUUUUUUUUUUUUUUUUUUUUUUUUUUCAAGUUUUCCCUUCCUUAACAACGUUAUGAGUAACAAGAGUGACUUACCGUUUCUCGUAAUUCCGCAUUUUUCUUUCUGAGAAUUUUCCCCUGAAUUUGACACAGAUAUGCAAAGAAUAUUGACACCAUGCCAAUUAGCAUGAAAUGAAUAAACUUUAUUUCGGACUAAAAUGUGAAUGAAAGAAUAAGCAACUCCUGAAGCUUCAAAUGCGUAUUUUACCUCUUCUUUCAGCUGAUUUAUUCGCUCGCAAAACAAUAGGAUCUGCAGAAGAAUUGAACAUUCGAUUUUGACCAUUAAAUUCUACAUUCUGAUCACACCAUUGUAGAGAUGCCUAUUGCAAAACGUACCUUUCUUGACCUAAUGAUGCUUAAACUUUUCUCCAACUGACGUUCUACCUGUUGCAACUCACCAAUAGAGGAGGAAUCUAAACCAUCUCCCAAGAGCUUUCUGCUACAUACAAAAUUUAUGUUGUUUUUAAUCACCCAAAAAGGUAAGAAAUUCAUGUUGUUAUACGAUAAGGAUGAGCUCUGCUUAAAACUUAAACAAGGUGUCGAUGUUAGGACAACCACCGUGUAGUUUCUUCAAGAAGCUCAAUUUUUUUCCUCAGGAUUGCAACCUCUUCUUCAAAAUGCUGCACAAAUAAGAGUAAGCUCAGCACGGAUCAAAAGAUUUAGCAGAAUAAAUUCGUGGACAAGAUCUUUAAGGCAAAGAAUCAGUUGGCACUUGGCACUGAUCCAUGAUCUUGAAUGAGAUUCUCAGAAUCAAGAAAUCAAGUGAAUGUAAGACAUUACGGCUAUUCAAUAUUAGUACAGAAGGAUCUUGACUGCCAUUCCGAGAAAUCAAGAAAGUGAAUGCCAAGAAAAUGCUUAUUUUGGACUUUGAACGCAUUUCAUAGGGGCUUUCAUACAACUAAUAUUUGGUACCAGGACGCAAUCGAACCUUAAUACCCCCUGUUCAAAAAAUUCAAAAGGUAAUUUCACCUGUGAAAAUGGUGCAUAAAACUCAACUAGAUGACAUUCUUCACUAAAAACAAAACAAGACAAACAUCACACAAAUGGAAAACACAUAAAGCACAGCUACACAAGAAAUUAACUCUUUAGUGAAGAGGACAUGCAAAAAGCACAUAAAUCCAGUCAAGAGGGGGGGGGGGGGAAUGAGGAAGAUGUUUCUGAAUACGAAACAUAUUCCCUGAACAUAUUUAAAGAUACCAACUUAAACCCAGAAGCAUAAAAAGACACAGCUGCUACUGCUUGGAUGAUCAGUCUCUAGGAAACAACGGCAAGGGAAAAACAGUUGCAGCCAUAGUUUUACUAACAACUGCAGCAGCAACUCAUAUGAAACAAGAUUUACCGGAAUAUGCUGAUCAGUUUCUGACCUGUAAACUUUCUAGAUCCAUUUGUUUGCUUGUAGGUCGAUUCUUGAUACUCUUCUGGUAGCGCUCUAUUGUACUUGUGGCACUAAAAUCAUUUGAGGGAACCACCAUGAGGUCAAAGGCACAAGUUGCAAAUACUAAAUUAUGUCAACAGAAAUUUGUUUAAUGACAAAAAGGCAAUCAAUGAUUUGAUUCAGUUUCCAUUCGGCAAGACCCAUAUCCUUCGAAAUUCAAUAUCCAAAUGCGUAUGUGCAUAUAUUUAACGCGGGGAAAAUGCUGUGCUGCCUACCAAGAAAUGAAUGUCAAAUUUUGUUUAAACGAUUGGUACUUGGGAUGUGCAGCUCUCAAGUCUUCCUGUGAAUGACAAGAUGUACCCACUUAUCAUCCAAAAAACUAAUUUCAUCAUAACUGGGAAAAAAUUUGCUGUAGUUACUUAACAAAACUUAUCACUAACAUAACAAAAUUUGCCACUCAUGUUUUCAGUGUCUUCAAGGCAUCACAAAUUUAUCCUUAAUACCAAUACAUAUGUAUUUACAUUCAUUUUACCUUUUAAGGCUUCCUUAGGAUUUCUUCAAAUGAGCUAAUUAUGGUUUUUAGUUAAAAUUUCACGUUAUUUCAAAGUGUUAUCUUACUAUUUCUAGCUUAUUUAAAGUUUAAAAUAAUACUAUAUUUUAGUAGCUUUGUUGAAUGUAUUGGAACUUCUAAAAGGUUCUAUGUGAAAAUCAAAACCCGCCUAAACAAAGUGCAGUAAAGACAUUAAUCAACCCUUCUGACUUUCUUAUUAAAAAUAAAAAACCACAUUAUAUGCAAUUGCAUGAAAAAAAUGUGAUCCAAUUUAGUGAAAAAACUAUUAAAGUAUAAUAUUAGAUUUCACUUGAUGCUAUUUUAUUUGAAUAUUACAUUUUUUGAAGAUUACAGAGAAUUAAAACUGAGUAUCUAUGAUGUUAAAUUCAACUAAAUAGGGGAGGUGAAUCAAAUCUAGUCUGUCAUUUAGUUUAAACUGAGAGUAUCCUUCACCAUCUGAAUAGAGGAUUUCAAUAAAAAUAAUAUUUUAACAAAAAAAAAUCUGAAUAGAGGAUUUCAACUUGCAAAUUCUAUUUAUAUGAAAAGUAAAGGUACAACCAUGCACUUAAAAAUUAACAUGUUCUUAAGCAUGGAAACUCAUUCUUCUUCUACUUUCUGCUGUCGUUUAACUGGACAACUAGUAACAAGAAAUAUGCUAAUAAUAGAAGGAGCCAAAUGAGUUAAAAAUCACACUAGUGCAAUUAAAUUUAUCAACGCACUAUUAUUCACGGAAUAAUUUUAAAAUAACGUUUCUCAUCCUGGUUCCUGAUACUGUGUCAGUUCUCUGAUGUAUCUAGAGACUUUGAACUAGAUUUUUUCAUCCCUAGGUUUUGUUUAUUUUCUUGUUUAUCAAUUCUCCGAGAGAUCUAUGAACUUUUCUCAAGAAAGUUACUUCUUGUCGUCUCCCUCAAAUGUAAAUCUAUCUUAUCUCUUCUUAUAUAUAUAAGAAGAAAGCCAAGUUACUGUAGCAGUCCAUCCUUUUACACAUUGCAUAUAUUUUUGACAAGUGGAAUCUUGGCCAUUUUAGCUAAAUUUUCUUUCCCUUUUUUGAUUCAAUUGGGCCAAAAGGAUUAAAAUAUUUUUUCUCCUUUAGAAAAUCAACUCCAUCUCUUCUUCUUCUUCUUCUUCUUCUUGCAGCAACUGUUGUCAUCCUUCACCUUUUUUAUUUUUUAUUUUUUAAAACUAAUCUAACUAAGAUUGUUGCCAUGUUCUUUUUUUUUUUCGUCGAGAUGAUUAGCUACUUAGCAAAGAGAAGUCUUUUUUUUUUAUCCCAUUUUACAUUUUCAUUUCUUCCUUUUUUUUUUCUUCAUCUCUAUUCUCUCAUGUUUGCUCUAUUCUUCAGUCACAAUGUUAUAGUCAACUGGCAUUUGUUUGUUAAAUUUAUAGGAUGACGUUGUUAUUUGGUAUUUCUUCAUGGAUAAAAGGUGAAAUGUUAAAAUAUGUAAAAAGAUCUUGGAAUGCAUUUUAUACCAGUGAUCAUUUUCUAUGAAGAAUAAAACAAAAAUUCAUCCUUUUCUUUUCUUCUCCUAGGAUUUGAUUUCUUACUUGACAUUUUUUCCUUUUCUUUGUUUUUUGGUUAAAUUUUGUAAUUAUCUACAAUUUUAUGUAUUUUUUUAGGAGAAAAGAUAUAUCAUGUGAUGCUUCCACCAAGAUAAAUCUAGCUAGGCGUUCCUCUACCUCUGUUUUUCUCUUUUUCUUUCUUUCCCCCAUCCUCUUUUGUAAUUACCUUAUGGUCUAUUCAAUUUAAUUAAAGGAUCCAACAAGAUUUUGUAUAUAUUUAAACUAAUGUUAAUUUUUGUUUUUUUUUAAUUAGUCAAGUGCUAUAGUUGGUGAUAUAAGGAUUGUUUGCUAAUUUGUUUGUUUUUUAUUUUUUGUUUUUUCAAUUAGUGUUUGUUAAUUUUUGUACAUACAAGGAUUGUAGUUGGUGAUGGAAGUCACAAUUGAGGCUUUCAGCCUAGAGUGUGACUUGACAAAAAAUUGUUGGAAAAUUCAAUUUUGAUUAGGAAGAUGUUUUUGCAAUAAAAAAAUGGUUUAGUUCUAAUUUGUAUAUGUAGAUUUGGAAAUGUAACAAUUCAUAUUUUUAUCUAACCUUGCUAUUUAUAUUCUAGAGCUGCAAGAUAAUGUUGUUACCUUUAGGCGGGAUUUAAAUAGAUGAACUAACUUCUUCUAUCAAAAGAAAGAAAAAUGUGAAUGUUUAUAGUAAGCUAUAUUGAUGUUGAAACUUGUGCCAUGUCUUAGUGGCUUUCUAAACUUUUUCUCAUUAUUAAGUACUGGAAGCAUUAUGACUGCUUUUGGAUUAGUUACAACUAAAACUAUACUACUAUUAAUACAUCAAUGCACUUAUAGUGUAUUAAUUCUCUCUCUUUUUUGGGUAUCAUCAUAAUAGUGGUUCAAAAAUCUUUAUUCAAAUCACAAUAAAUAGGGGGUUGACUUUAUAGAUGGAAUUUCUCUUCACAACAAAUUUUGAGGGAAAUUUUGUUUAUACUCCAUAUUUUGUUAAUUGUGUUCCUACAAUAAAUAAAAACUAUAUGAUAAAAAUAAUAAUAAAAGUGUGAUUAAUAAAAAUGAGAGUUCAAAUAACAUUUGUCAAUUUUAAUGGUUUUGAUGCUCAAUUUUUCUUCUAUAUUUCUAUUCAUUCAUCAUGUGCCAAAAUAAUUUGAUGUUAUAUGUUCGACUAAUUCCUAGGGGCCCAAGCUGUGCUUCGCACAAUUUAGAUACCUCUAGUAUCUCACAAAUAAGGCUAAUAUGUCCUAUAUUUGAGCCCUUAGGUUGACAUUUGGCAGUAGAUUUUUUCAUUAAGACCAAGCGAGUAGUUGAAACCUAUAAAGCAAAGACAAGCACCCCAUAUUUACAAUGGCGGAGUUAGAAAAAUUCACUAAAAGGGCCCAAAUAAAAGGAAUUCACUAGUGUCUAAUGAACUCAUUAAAUUACUAAAGUUUUUUCUUACCUUAUAACCCCUCAAAACAAUGGUUUUAGUUCUUGUGGUUAUUAAACAUACGGCUUAUACAUGUUAUUUUAUUAAAAGUUCUUAUCAAUAAACACAUGUACAUAUUGACCUUCUGCAAAUUAGUUAAAAGAAAAAAGAUAAAUUGUUCUAAAAUUUAAUAGCUUUCUAAGAUCAGUUACAGCACAUCAACAAAUUACUAAUGUAAAACAAACUUUUUUGAAAAUAUCAUAUUUAUUAUUCAUUUUUUAGCCGAGUAGGGGCAUAUGUGCCCAUUGACAAUAUGUAGAUUGGCCCAUAAUGUAGAAUCCAGUCAUCUCAACUCUCAAUAUGCCGUUGCAAGAUAUACGUCUCUCAAAGUCAUUACAUUCGUUUGGGAUGAUAUGAGAUGGAGAGAAGAGAAAACAAAAGAAAAAAAUAUAUCUAUGUAUAUAACCAAAAGGAGAGAGAGAGAGGGAGAGAGAGAGAAUGGUUAAACCUUAAAGAAAACUUUCUAGGGUAAAUGAUUUCGUUUAUCCCUCACUAUUAACUCAUCAUCUUAUUUCAUCGCUCAAGUUUAUAAACAACCUAUUAUGUUCUUUGCCUUAUGAAUUAGGUUUCAAAAGGUCCGUAGAAAACACUCCGUCCAAAUUGAUGUAAUGGACGAUAAUCACGGAAGAAACACACGAGUUCUCCAUGGGCAACAUAUGGAAAAAGUUAGACGUCUAGAUAUGGAACCGUAAAUUGACCACAAUAGACCAAGUAAAUGGGAGGGAAAGAAUCCAGCCACCUCUUGCAUUAUUAGGGCAAACUUUGAUAACCAACUUUAUUUUUGCUAAAUAAUGUUGAGAGAGAGAGAGAGAGAGUGUGUGUGUGAGAGAGAAGAAGAAAAGAAGAAGAAGAAGAAGGAGCAAAUGACCAGAGUUAAGUUAUAGACUCAAUAGUGAGAGAGAAAAAGAGAGAGUACAUAGGUGCAAUGAUUGGCAGGUACACUGAAAUAGACCAGAAGACUGAUAAAUCUGAUGAGAGCCUCAAUCAUUACCCUCAAGUCAAUUGAAAAGCUUAAAACCAUAUUUGCAAGUAAUUUCACCUAUCUUCCCUCUCCAUCUGAUCUCUUGCUCUUGCCAUUUGAUAUGACUCUCUCUCUUUACAUAUACAUACAUAUAUAUGUGUGUGUGCAUGUAAAUGUGAGUAUGCGCGCGUACGCGCACACAUAUAUAUACAAACUUAGAAAAAAUGAAGUUUAUUAUCAAAUUUUGUCCUGGUAAUGCGAUAGAUGGCAAGUGCCUUUCCCUCUUAUUUACUUAGUUUGUUGUGAUCAAAUUAAGGGCAUACGUUUAGGCUUUUAUAAUUUUUUAUCUAUGCCCUUGGAGAUCUAGUUGAUUGGUAUCUAUUUACUUAGGCACGUUUCAAAACUCAAUAUGUAAUUUGAAGAACAAAAAUAGGUUAUAUUUAAACUAGAGAGACAAAAUAGAGUCAUGAGAUAAACUUGAAGGAUGGAUGAGGUUAUUUACCCAAACUUGUCAUAAAAGUAAAGAGAAAUGAGAAAAAAAAGUGAGAAGAGGCCAUUAGUUCAAAACCCAGAAAUUGUCACAUUUAUCAUCAGUACAAGACCCAAUAAGUUUAAAUUUGAGAGUAAAUGUUCGAAUUACAUGUAUUAAUAAUUUUGCUCUUUGCCUUUAUCCUCUACUACGCCCAAACAAUAUACGAAAACAAGUAAUUCUUUCCCUUUUCUUCCUUUUCUUCCCCUUUUUUUCCUUCUUUUGUGUUCUUUUCUUUCCUACGCCCUCAAGUCGGCAAUAGUAACUCAAAGUUUCGUGAGAUAAAGGUCAUCCACAUUAUGCAGAUAUAUGAAUGAGGUAUUUCUGUGUGUUGUUUUAUGGGUGAGGUAUUUCCAUGUUGUGUAAAGUUAUAGUGUAAAACAACUAAAAAUUCUAUUAUUGGAAGAGACUGGACACUUCCUAAAAGGAUACUUAGCUCAAAGUAUCCCAACUCUUGUACUAUAGCAUAGAGAGGCACUAGUCCUUAACGCAUGACCAUCAUGCCGACCUAAUAUUUUACUGAGGAAUUCCAUGUCCAAAUUGCUGUUGGUAUGGACUUCAAGUUUGAAAAAAAAAAGGGAUUCCAAAUAACUGUUGGUAUAUAUAAUUUACAUCAAAUUGCUUUAAACUCUGAGUCAAUGAGAAAUCUUUAAAUCUUCAGAACUUAUAGAAAUUUCAAAAAACACUCCCUACGUAGUCGAGUACUCAAUAUUUAUUCCAAUAUGAAGGAUGCCCAAAUUCAUCAUAUAUAAAAAUUCAAAAACUGGAUUGGAGCAAUAUUGGGGAACCAAAUUUGACUUAGUGAUUAAUACCUUUUUUCUUGAUUCAAAAUAGGGUUUGCGGUUCAUUAAUGCCUCUAACUUCCAGCCAUUUCCCUUCUGAAAGGUUAAAUAUUUGUCAAAUUGUGUCCUUCAAAAAGUUUCUUUCAACAAGUUAGUCUUUUAGCAAUAAAAUAACCGUUAUUUCCUUCUUAAAGAUGAGAGUGAGGCAACCCAAGUGAAAUUUGUACCAACACAGAUAAUUAAACCAUGAAAUACGUCCCUCUUGUAGAGAAAAUUAAGCCAAUGGCUACUAAUUAUAGAAAAGUCUUGGAUCCUCAAUUACAUCAAAUGAUACUGGCAUAUCGUCUACACUAAAAGUAUACAUCUCAUUGGAACUUAAAAGUUUAGCAUGACAUGUUAGUUUAAGAAUUUAGGAAAGCAAAGCUUCAAAAUAUGAGUAUUACUAUCCUACUUGGACAUUCUAAGAUGCAACGUAUUGCUCUAAACCGUGAAUCCAAUAACAAGAAUGCAUUCUCUAAAAUUCAUGAAAGUUCGGAGGAGUCUCAUCAUUCCACCAUGUGCUUCAAACGAGCCAAUGCUAAGCUUACAAUAGGAUGGCCAAAUUUGACCUAGCUAAAAGAUAAAAGUUUCAUAAUGUGCAUAUGUGAUGUGACCUUUACGACACAAAAAGAAGAUAGAAUAAGCCAAUUAUUUCCAUAGAUGUCUAAAUUAAUAGAUUGUCUUCCGCGUUGGGUUCUUUUUUUCACCAUUAAUGCUGCACAGUAUCCCUAUUUGUCUCUCAAGUGAUGCUGGAUAACUUCAUAUUCAUGGACAAAAUCUUGUCAUACAUCUACCUUUUUAUUGGUAGUUUCAACCUAAAAACGUAUAAUGCUGAAAUGAGUUGUUUUUUGGGACUUAACUGCACUAGGUUAAAAUUGAGAAAUGACCUCAAAAAUUUAAGAAAUAGUGCGCUACUAUUUAGAAGUGAAGAUCACCAUUGGUGAUGUAUUUCAGGAUUCAUGGAUAUUUGAAAUUAAAUAUCCACUACCACGUAUUUGUAAUACUAGAGGUUAAUGAACAUAUUUCAACUUUGACUAGUUAAACAUGCAACAAUUAGUUGUAUGUAGUACUAAUAAAUAUAUAUUUAGACAAAUUAGUUAUAAGAACCUGCAACUCUUAGAUUCCACAAUCUGGAACCUUUCAACGCUUUGCCCCAGAGAUCCCGAGGCAUGACUACAAAGUUUGGUUGUAAGAAAUAAAUAAGGUAUUAUAAUUUGGUUAUCGUAUUGGCAUCUACUAUACUCUCUAAAAUCCUCGAUGAUGGCUCAAUCUUCAGUUAAUAUACAUGUUUCCUUAGCUCUUUGGCCUACAGUAACUUUUUGCUCCAUUUUCUUGUCCCUUUUGCUUCGAAGCACUACUAUUUAUAGUUGCUCAUAGUGUGAUGAAAUCUGCAUACUAUUCUUGUUUUGUUUGAGAAUCUACAAUGUCAUUAGAAAUGAAGUCAAAGAAGCCAAAAUGUGAGAAGAUUACUAUCCCUACAUCCAAUAUAGGUAGUUUAAGAGGAUUUAUUUUGUUGUUGGCCUCCUUGAGAUCAAAGUACACUAUUCGCAUUGUUUCAACGAGGAAGCUAAAUAAGAAAUAAUCACCUAUUUGUUCUACUCUUAUAGUAGCUAAGAUGGAAACUUAGAAUUGCUGGAGAUUUGGCGUCCUUUUUGUAGUUUUAUGAAAGAGGAAAUUUGGCGUCCUUUUGUAGUUUUAUGAAAGAGGAAGCCCAUGCAUUUGAAUCGUGUUAAGUUAAUAUUUCAGGGUUCAAUAACACAUCACCACGGUUGACUAUAAUUAUUAGUUUCCUUCUAACCAACAUAUAUAACUUGGUCUAUGGUCAUAUAUCCCUUGCCCUCAGAUUAUGUUGACUGAUCCCUUUGAAAUGCUUCAGUAUAGUAAUGUUAAUAAUCAUCUUUGCUGUAGCCAAAAUUAAAAAAAUCUUCUUUCUUGUACGCUGAUUAAUAUGCAGGCUAAUCAUGUGUCUACUUGAUUAUAAACACUAGGAGACAAACCCUUAAUUAACUUGAAGAAAAGAGAUAAAGCUAACUUUUAGGAAAUGAGAUCCUCAUGGUAAUAAUGCAUAUAGGCUGGUGGGGUUGGACAUUUUCAAAGAACCAGUACAAAAGCACAACACCUUCUCGCUUCAUUAGAGACAUGGUACCAUUUCCGCUUGUGUUACAGAUAGACUAAACCUUUUAUUUUGGUUGUAGAAAGACAAGUAUGACAGUACAACCCCUUAUAGUCUAUUUAAAUAAAGCACUUCAAGAGCUACCACGAAAAGCUACGGCUUGUUUUGCUCUAGGAGACAAAUGCUGUGUCUCAUAAGUUUUGCUCUAGGAGAAUAUCUCAUGCUACUGAUUUUUUAUUUUCUUUAAGUUGACAACUUGACAGAUAAAAUCAUCAAGAAAAAAAAAAAAGAAGUGCUGCAGAAUUACAACUAUUGAUGCAUUUGUUUCUCCCACUCUUCCUCAGAUUGUCUGUAUCUUGUCGAUCUAAUUUUUGCGAGCUUUUAAGGAUCUAGUGUUUCCGCCUCUGGACCAAGUAAUAUCUAAAUCCCGUUAAAGGAGCAAAGUAGGAUGCUAAGAGGGGGAAAAUGCCUUUACUCAAACUCACUAGAAACUGCACUUAUUGGUAAAAGUUGGGUUUCAUAGGUAUGGAUAUAAAACAAGAUAAGGGAUCCCUUAGCUCUGAUAAAAGCUUGAGAACAUACUUGGAAUGAUUAGUGGUCAAUCCGUUGCAAAAAUGAACAUAAAAUUUGAUGAAGAUGACACCAUUUUGAUGAAGGGGAGGAAAAUUAAUAACGAAAAAGAGAGAUAGAUAGAGAAUAUGAGCAGAUCAUGUGCAAAUGUUGAUGGUUAAUGUACCUGGAACUUGAGAACUCAUAAAGCUUCCCGCUGGGAGAGAAAAUGAUCAGUGCAACUUCCGCAUCACAAAGAACUGAUAGCUCAAAGGCCUUCUUGAGAAGUCCCUUUCUCCUCUUUGAGAAUGUCACUUGUCUAGUUGUUGCAUCUUCUAUCCUCUUAAUCUGAGUUUUCCCUCUCGCCAUUCUUAAAAUUUUAGAUAAGAAAGGUCCAAAAUUAAAUCCGCCAACAACCCUGAAAGGGAAAUCAAUGAUUCCAUAAAGAAUCGAAGUGCAAACAACCCAGAAAAACAUUUAAUCAGGAAUUAAAAAUCUAAUAUAACCCCAUGAACAAAAAAAAAAGUUUCCAAAAACAGAAAGAAACAGGAGGGCAUGGAAUUGAUUGAUCCCAAAAAUGGGAAAUCAGACAAAACCUUUUCUGGAAAGCCUCGGAUCUGCAAGAUCGUAGGUGAGAAAAACAGGAAAAAAUUGGGUAGGUAAGACACUAGUAGAAACCCUAAAGAGAGAUUUUUCAGGCAAGAUGUACAGAGAAAUGAUAUUCCGCAAAGUCCAUAGUCUCUUUUUAACCCCCCCGGCCCCCUCUUAAGUCUCAAUUUCAACCACAGAAUCUAUGCAAAACAUAAUUGAUUAAAAAAGGACCGGCAAGGUCCAAAAACUUUAUCCCUUUUCUUCUUUUGGUACAAGGACGGCGAAAUAGACCCAUCCAAAAAAGGAACAAUGGAGAAUAAUAACUGUACAACAUAAAAUUUACCGUUUUUGUUAAAAUAAAAUAUUUGUACAACAGCAAGUGGAAAUUCUUGGGAACCAAUUUGUUUGGAUAGGGUAUUAUUUGAAAUAUUAUUUAGAAUAAUUACUGUAGCACUUUUUGUGAUGUGAUGUAUGUGAGAUAAAAAGGUGGUUGGGAAUAUAAAAAGGUGAGUUGAGAAAUGUGUUUAUGAUGCAAGUGAAAUAUUAUUUGAGAUUUUGGUUUGUUUGGAUAGUGUAUUAUUUGAAAUAUUAUUUUGGAAUAAUUACUUAGCACUUUUUGUGAUGUGAUGUAUGUGAGAUAAAAAGUAGUUGGGACUAUAAAAAGGUAGGUUGAGAAAUGUGUUUGUGAUGCAAGUGAAAUAUUAUUUGAGAUAAUUUUGGUAUCCAAACACUAAUUUUAGUUAUUUUAGUUACAGAUGCCGAGGGAACCAGUACAUAUCAAAGUGAAUGUAAGUUUUCAUGCUGUACAUUCGUGGAUCGACAGAUAAAGCAAAGACCCGAGGUUGCCUGUGAUCUUCAUAAGUCAAAGGUAAAUUUUUAGCAUUUUCCUAUGUAAGUUUUCUGGCAAAUCUCGAGGCAUUUGGCCCUCUUCUUAUAUUAAAUUCCUUUUACCGAAUUCUUGUUAAUUGCUCUUUCCACAAAUUGAUUACUGAUUAUUCUUUUUCCUUUGUUGGUGUAGUAAUUUUUGUUGGUAUAUGAAUUACUUCAAGGCUAAACGGAGCAGGUUACUGGGUCUUUUUGUUCAUUGAGCACUAGGGCUAGGUAAUAAGUACAGUUCAGCCAAAAAUGUGCCAAAAUUUUUGCGACAACCAGCUUUAAAACAAAUUCGGGACUCUCUAGUUGAACUGUUGCUCAGUUCAUCUAAUUUUAUGAAUCAUAUAGCAUUUGAUAUAAAAUGAUAAAAGUUUGACAUAAACAUGAAUUUUGUUAACUCGUACAAUUAAUAAUUCAUCAUUAAAUCAAAGUUGUAUUAAUUUGCACUAAGCAUUUAAGAUUUACAAUAAUUAGAACCAACUGAACAAAAUCAACUAGGAUGGCCUCUGAUCCCAUGAAAACGUGUUAAAAUUUUCUAUAGAAUUAUUGGAACUAGAAGCAAAGUAGGGUAGCCCCCUAGAGACAUUAUUAGUCUUUUGCCUCAUAAAGGAGUAGAGUCUAGAUAGAUCCAUUAUGACAUUAUUGAAAGUAGGUAAAAACAAGGGAUAAUAUUAGAAACCUCCCUUGAGGUUUAUCUUAAUAUCACUUGGCACCCCUGAGGUUUUUGAAAUAUCACUUAUCUCCCUUAAUAAUUGUAAAAAGACUAUAUUAACCCUCACUUGACACAUAAUUCACAUAUCAAAUAAAUGAAGUUUAAAAUUUUUAUAAAAAAAGCCACUUUCUUCUCUUUCCCUUUUUUCCAUCAUUCUCUCUUAAUCACCAAUUUAGUCCUCAAACUAUUGCACUAAAGCCGAUUUGGUCCCUUAACAUUUUAUCACAUGCAUUAAGUCCUUUAACUAAAAUUCUUGUGCCAAUUGAGAACCUAUACGGUGUCGCCACCUAAAACAUAUGUUUCUGUACCCAAACCAACGGCGAGGCGGGGCUUUUUUAGAAGUAAAAAAAUAUGAUUUUCUAUGGGAAGUAAGAUAUCAACCAUUUUGGGAUCAAAUUGGGAGCAAAAGAGUAGCGAGAGAAUACAGGAAGAAAUUAGGGUUCUUCCACCUAUUCCCAAUUCAAGGUUACAACUAAAAUGUCUUCAAGUUCAUCCUUUGAAGUGCAUAACAGAUAGAGAAAUUUGGAUGCGGGAUUGUCAAGCUCAGCUACAAAUCGAUCUUCAAGGAAGGAGGCAUAUGGAAUUUCACAUGUUGGAGGAUUUAGUCGAGGAAAAGCUGAAUACUACAAUGGAGAGGAAAUCGUGAAGUGCCAUUGCCAAGAAUCCUGCAGAAUAGUGUCUUCUUGGACUGCAGCAAAUCCAUCAAGAAGGUUCCAUAGAUGUAGAAAUUACGAUGUUAUGAGACCAGCCAAAUGCUUAAAUUUUAAUAAUUUUCAUAAUGGUUGGGGUGUAUUUAUUUAAGUUUUAUUACUAAUGAUGGAUUAAUUUUGAAUGCAGACAUCUCAUUCUUGCAAAUUUUUUUAUGGUACGAUCCGCCCUUGUCAGAGUAUACAAAGAACACAAUAUCUAAAUUGUUAAGGGAACUAAGGAAAGCCGAAGGAGACAACAAGGAAAUGAGGAUAGAAAUUCAAAUAUUGAAAAAAAAAGCCCAGAUAUUGAUGUUGGCACUGGUAAGAGGCUGCAUCUUAUUAAUGGCAGUAUGGGUUCACAAUGCAAGAAGAAAACCCGUGGAACUGGGACUUAAAAUGUUGCAUUAAAAAUAGUAUAAUUGCUGGAAAAAAUAGCCUUUAGUAGGUUUAAGCUGAUUAGGUAUGUUGCUAGAAAGCUGUGCAGGUGCAAACUUGUGUAAGGCCAAGUUGGUAUACAAUGUAAUGUUCUUGUUUGUAAUGAUGCAUUUGUUUAUUCUUGUUCCUGGACAUGAUAAUUUAUAUGGUAUAUAAGGCCAGGUUGGACAUCAUAACAUUAUAUUGUGUUAAAAUUUGAAAAAAUUUCGACGGAGUUUCACCUUAAAAAUGAACAAUUUCACCUACCAACCAAACUACCAUUUUAAUACAUACACAAUAUAUAAAACUAAAAGCAUGAAUACAUGUGGUCAACUACAUUUCCAGCCAGUAACAAAAGUACUCAUUCACUGAAGAAGUCAAUUGUAACUUAAUUUAACAAAAGUUAAACACAAUUCUGGGUUUAACCAUGUUAACAAAAGCUAUACAAAAUGUGGGUUGACCCAAAGAACAGCAGCACCACGAAAUUCAGUCAUGCUCUAUCAUCUUGGACAACUGCCAGUAGCUAGUUACAAUUUUAUCCUUUUAGAGACAGGUCCAGCAAUAGUGAAACUAAGUAGAGCUUCUUCAUCGCAGAUCCAUGGCUAGUCAAGUUGUGUUAUUCCCGGAUCAUUGGCAUCAUCCGGUUCAUCUAUAAGUCUAUGAGCCUGCAUAUGAUCAACAAGUAUUGGUCAAUGGAAUAACUUACGGAGCAAAUGUUAAGUUCAUUUCGAUGCUAAAAAACCUACUUUUUGCUUGGCUCUUCGCUUUUUCCCAACUGAUUCAACAUACGGACCAUAAGCAUCCAUUUUCGCCUUCCUUAUUCUCCAACCUUGUGCUUGUAUAGAAGGACAUGUCUUUUUGUUAUGCCCUGGAGCUCGACAGAAGUAGCAUUUGAUUUUCUUCUUUCGUUCAGCAACUUCAGUGGAAAGUACUAGUUGUUGCUGUGCACUUGAAACUACAAAGUAAGAAAUGAAAAAAAAUAUUGAAUUUAAGUUAAGUAUGUCCUUAAAUUAAAUGAAACAUAACUCAAUUAUGACUAGCCAUAUGUCCUCAAAUUAAUUAACCAUUUUCUUUAUGAACAGCAGCUUGUGUGUCCACUUGACAGCCUUCACCAGGUUGUUGUUCUCCAGCAACAGGUUGUUCACCCCUUGGUUGUGCUUGUUGAUAUGGAAAAAAUUUAAAAGUUAGAGAAAACAGCAAAGGUUAUAUGAAUUUUGGCAGAAUAAUAGUGUUGAAAAAUAUGUAGAAGAGGACGUAUACCAACCUGGCUAUGGUCUAAGUUAGUCCCUACAACAUCAGAGUGGCUCUUGGGAUGACUAGUUGGACAUGUUCUUCGAUUGUGACCAUACCCUUGACAUUUGCUACAUUUGUUACUGUUGAGAGAAGGCCCCCUUCCAGUGCCAUGGCAAACUAAAUGCUCGGUUGGUAUAACCAAUGGACAUUUCCUUAUUGUAUGUCCUUUUUAUGACAUUUUGAGCAGCUUAGUUUAGUAAUUCCCACUCUUGACAGCUUAGUCACUCCAUUACUACUUUUUCGACGUUCAUCUGGUUCCCUCCUUCUUACUUUUUUUGGCCUAUCAGAAAGUCUCAACUUCUUGGGUGGUGAUAAGUGACUAAUUUACGUAAUAAUUGUAUGACAUUUUAUAUUAUUUUUAGUCACUUUGGUUAUAUUAUUGGAAGAAUAUGAAUCAUUUUGGCUAUAAUUGGUGAAAAAUGCUUUUAAGUGAUUAAAUGAGGUUUUUAUCACUUUUUACUUGGAUUUUGUGUAUUUUGACAGUUUUGACACAUUUUCGUAUUUCGGCUAUAACUUGAGUUACAAUGAUCGGAUUGGGAUGAUUCUUGAACCCAUUUGAAGAUAAGAGAUAGAUCUACAACUUUGGUGAAGACAUCUAAAUCCAGUUUGAAGGUUUUCCAGGUCAAAAUGCCGAAUUACAAUAGCAAAUUUCUACUGGUUGAAACUGGAACAGGGCAAUGAGCAGGCAAGGGUAUUUCAGUCAUAUCUCAGCCUACACAGAUCCAAAUGAGGUGAUUCUUGAUGCAUUAGAACGAUAACUCAAAUGGCUACAACUUUCGUGUUUUAGACAUGAGCUGUUUCAGCCUCUAACAUCAAGAAAAGAUUGGUUGAAGUUGGGCCAAAAACAGAGCAAGUGAUCCACACUCGGAUCCACUAUUCAUCCGAACCCUCGGUUGUUUCUGGGUUAGUGGAUCCGAGGUACUGUAGCAGCUCGGAUCACUGGUCAGAAAAGGCUGCUCUGUACGCGUAAAACUCAAUUUCACCUCCACCAACUCACAUUGGAUGCUAGACAUGUGAGAAACAUUCCCAGCUGUAAAAGGGAGAUGUAAUCCUCAUUUCUUGACCACCUUUCAUCAUUAAAUAGCCAAAUGCAUUGCAAAAAUAGGAAUGGGGAGUUCAUAGCAGAAAAUAGAGAGUGAGCUACGGGAGAGCUUGAAACUGCAGAAAUGUAACUCUUUCAUCUCCCUAGUGUUAGUUUAGCUUAGUAUAGAGUAGUGUAGCUUUUCCAUUCUUGUUUAUUAUCUAGAUUAGGAUGAAGAUGGAGGAUGAAGAAGACAAGGAAGAAAGCUCAUGUGACAAGGGUUGUAUUCCUUCUAAAUUCUUUAUCUUUUGUAUUUGAUUCCAAAUUUAGUUAAUAUACAAGUUCUGGAUUUUGUGUUCAAUAUGUGUUUCUAAAGUUUAAGCCUUGGGUUUGGUUGAACUUUCUAUAAUUGUUAGUGUUUAUUAUUUGGUUAUUUGACUGCUAUGAUUUGAGCAAGUUAUUUAGCACUUUGGCUCUUUAAAUCAUGAUUAAUCUGGUACCAUUGAUUGUGAUUAUCUAAGGUGUUGUUUCUGCAAUGAAAAUUGAGAUUUAACACUAGUUCAAGAAGUGCUAAACAUAGGGAGUACACUCACGAAAGUAGAGGUGCACUUAUGUGGUUUUUAGUGAUUCAUUUCAUGUAAUUUCAUUGAAGAAAUGAACUUGUAGCUAAUUUCAUAACUAUGAAAAUAGGUAUGGAUUAGUUAUGAGUAUAAUUGAUUCACUACGAAAGUAGGAUUCAAAUGCAUAAGGAAAUUACACCAUAAUUAGCCUAGAUGUAGUAUUCAAUGAUCCAAAUAUAGCACUUGCAUGAGUAGUUAGGGAUACCACAACCCAAGGAGCUUUCAUUUGUUAUUUUGUAUAAUUUGAGUAGGUAAAAUUUGUUAUAAUUCAUUGAUAGUCUAAAUAAUAGAGAAGCUUUAGUAGUACCGGUAAUUGCAAUCUUCCUUGUGGGAUCGACCCUUAAUAUCCUAUACUCGCUCACGAUUCGUAUACUUGCGAUAAAUCGCGUGUGGGGUGUUUAGGAGUUUAUAAAUGUAAAACUUGAUUAGGAUGAGCUUAAUUGUAUAUGUAUGGUUAUCAAGUGCAAAGCUCCUUCAAUAGAGGUAACCAAGAAUUUACUGAAUGUAUGUCUUUUGAAGAUGGUUUAAGGUGCUUAAAGGCAAAAUUUGAUGUAAUUAAGUUACAAGUUCAAAUGGACACCAUGAUGCAUGAAAUUGAGCAGAGGAGGAAUGUUAAUGUUUUUAAUUCUUAUCAUGUGAUUUGUGACUUGUGUAGAGGUUAUCAUGCUACUAAUACAUGUAUGCAAGCACAAAAUGUGGAUUAUUAUGAUGAAUUAGAGCAUUACAAUCCUUGUUUUGAUCAAUAUAGUGCUAAUUGGAGCAAUUCUCCUGCUUAUGGUUGGAAUAUUCAAUGUACUUAUAGUGAUAAUUCAUAUUUUUAUGAUCACCAACCUGAAAGUGUCCAAUAUGAAUCAAAACCAUCUUGGGAGUUGGCAAUAGAGAAGUUAGCUAAUGCACCUCUACCUUGGGAGUUAGAAAAUGAACCAUUAGCUAAUGAUUCUAAUGCAUCUUGGGAGCUAGCUGUAGAAAAUUUUUCUAAUCAAUUUGAUUUAGCCAUAGAAAAGCUAGCAAAUGCAACCUCCGACCGUUUUGAUAGGAUUGAGGAAAGGUUAGAUGAAUUAGCUUCUCACUUUGGUAAUAUACAUGAGCAAUUGAAUGUAUUGUGAAGUUAUUUCUUCUAAUAAUUUGCAAAAUGAUCCUAGCAUGAAUGGUGAGAAUGUUGUAUGUGAAAAUGGAUUGCAUUUUGAUGAAAAUGAUGAAUCUCAAUUGUGUUUCAAUGAGCAAAUGUCCAUUUCACAUGAUAAUAUCUUUGGAACUAACUUUGAGCCUCAAGAGGUGAGUUUUAAUGACUCAUUUUUCACCCCUCUUGAGGAGUGCAGUGAAAGUAUAGGUUCUAAAGGUAUUCCUGCUCAAGAUACUCUCAUGACAUUUCCUUUGGUAAAUUCUCAAGUGGUGCAUAUUCAAGGUAAUAUCUAUGAAAUACUUGGAAUAUGUAAGUCACUUCCAUCUCUCACAUCAUUAGAUCAUGUGGCUUUUUCUAUUAAGUCACCUUACAAUGAUCCACCAAGGCCUAAAAUGGUGGAUUAUUCGUUAACUAAGCCUCCUUGAAAAAUGAGGUGAUAUAGUCAAGCUAUUGAUUUUAAAGAAGCGCUUAUUGGGAGGCAACCCAAUGCUUGUUUAAGUUGGUGUUACUUUGGAGUGAUUUUAUGUUUAAAGUAUAAGUUUGAGUUAUUUUGUUAUUUUUCAUUUGUAGGUUUUGGAAAAAGAUGCAAAAGUGACCAAAUGAGGUGAAAAAGGCGAAGUUUGAUCAAAGAUCUCAAUACCUCAAAUUCAGUAAUUGUGAAUUUUGAUGCAUUAAAGAGGUUUAGAAUGCAUGUUUAGAUCAUUUUACAUGUGCGUGAAUGAUUUAUUUUGACAUAGAAAUGAUCUAGGGUGUAUUUUGAAUAAUUGAGGUCAAACUGAAAAUUGCAAAAAUUCUGCAAUAAGUGCAGAUUCAAUGGAUCCAAGGCCUCGGAUCCAUAUGGAUCCAAGGCCUCGGAUCCACUUCUGCAAUCAGAGAAAAACUUCGAGCUUCUUGAUCCGAGCUCGGAUCCAUAUGGAUCCGAGGCCUCGGAUCCACUUCUGCAAUCAGAAAAAAUUUGAGCUUCUUGAUCCGAGCUCACUUAUCAUGAUCCGACAUCGGAUCCUUUCAAAAACGACCUCGGAUCCUUUCCAAACGAAGCCUCGGACCACUUUUCUUCAUUCUUCCCUCUUUUUCCUCCUUCAACUCCACUUUUCUUCUUGUUGGUUGCAAGCUUUUAUUCUUAAGAAUUGUAUUUUUGUUUUUUUUUCAAGGUGCAUUAAUUGAAGUCUCCAUUCUUUCAAGUAAAGUUGGAAAUUCAUCACUUGGACAUGGAUUCGGAUUGCGCAAGUCAUAAGGGGAGUAUUUUCUUUUACUCUUUCUUUAUUUUCCUUUUCUCACAUUGAGGACAAUGUGAAGUUUAAGUGUGGGGGAGGAAAUAUGUGAACUUACAUUCUAAUGCUAUGUGAUGAUAUUUUGUGGAUUUAAAUGCUUAGAAAUAUUGGAAUUGUGUUUGAAUUAUUUGCCAUGUGGAUAAUUUGCCUGAAAUUGGGUUUGUUGGCAGGGAGUUUUCUUCCAUUUAUAUGGGGAAACUCCGUCAAAAUUUGUCUAACAUCUUGUCCAAUAUGUCACUAUGGCCCAAAAGUUCUUCAAAUUUUUGCAUUUUCAUUCAAAAAGGGCUAAUUUGUUCCAACUUUAAAUGUUUUUAUUCUUCCAAUUGUUGAAACUUUAUGUGUAUUUUGGAAGGUUUAGUCCUCAUUUAACUUGGAAAUAGUUAUUAUGCAAUUAGAAUUUUUACAUUUUAGAAAGUAUAUUUGGUAAAGUGAGGAAAAUUAUGCCUAUAAUUUUACAUGUUUAAUGAGAUUUCUUCUCUUUACUUAAUUUUGCAAGUAAGUGAUUGACAUAGUUGAUAAAAGGUUAUACUCCUCCUUUGAUUAGUCUUAUAUAUUUUCUAAGAGGGAAUAUCUAUUUAUUGUCCUUUAGUUUAAAAAAAAAAAGAAAAGAAAAGAAAGAAAAAAUUAUUCUACUCCAAUGAUUUUUGUACCGAGUAACCGGGGGUUGGCAUCUACAAAUGUCGAUUUUCGCGUAAAAAGGUACUUGAAUUAAGAAUAUGCAUUGCAACUUGAAUAAGUGAAAUGUUGAGUAACCGGGAAUCUUCACCUAAAAGUGUCGAUUUUCGCGUAAAAAGGCAUUCUCACUAAUUAAGUAAAAUUAGUAUGAAUAAAUCCCUCUUAGAUGUAAAAUUUUGAGAAAAGGAUGAUUAUAGGAGGAGGAAGGCUAUAAAUCGACUAUGUGGGUUGCUUAUUUGUGAAAUUAGGUUAGGGUAAGAGAUUAAGUUUAACUUGUUGAAUUUAGGGUAUAAUUAUCUUUUCUUUACUUGAUAUUAUGAGUAUUUAGUGUAAAUUGAAUAAUUAUAUAAUAAUUAUUUUCCAAGUCUUGAGGAAUUAAAUUGGACAAAGUGCAUAUAUUGUUUCACCUCUUGAAUCAUUGCAUUUGAUUAUGUGUGAAUUGCUUGAGGACAAGCAAUGAUUUAAGUGUGGGGGAGUUUGAUAAGUGACUAAUUUACGUAAUAAUUGUAUGACAUUUUAUAUUAUUUUUAGUCACUUUGGUUAUAUUAUUGGAAGAAUAUGAAUCAUUUUGGCUAUAAUUGGUGAAAAAUGCUUUUAAGUGAUUAAAUGAGGUUUUUAUCACUUUUUACUUGGAUUUUGUGUAUUUUGACAGUUUUGACACAUUUUCGUAUUUCGGCUAUAACUUGAGUUACAAUGAUCGGAUUGGGAUGAUUCUUGAACCCAUUUGAAGAUAAGAGAUAGAUCUACAACUUUGGUGAAGACAUCUAAAUCCAGUUUGAAGGUUUUCCAGGUCAAAAUGCCGAAUUACAAUAGCAAAUUUCUACUGGUUGAAACUGGAACAGGGCAAUGAGCAGGCAAGGGUAUUUCAAUCAUAUCUCAGCCUACACAGAUCCAAAUGAGGUGAUUCUUGAUGCAUUAGAACGAUAACUCAAACGGCUACAACUUUCGUGUUUUAGACAUGAGCUGGUUCAGCCUCUAACAUCAAGAAAAGAUUGGUUGAAAUUGGGCCAAAAACAGAGCAAGUGAUCCACACUCGGAUCCACUAUUCAUCCGAACCCUCGGUUGUUUCUGGGUUAGUGGAUCCGAGCUCGGAUCCGUAUGGAUCCGAGGUACUGUAGCAGCUCGGAUCACUGGUCAGAAAAGGCUGCUCUGUACGCGUAAAACUCAAUUUCACCUCCACCAACUCACAUUGGAUGCUAGACAUGUGAGAAACAUUCCCAGCUGUAAAAGGGAGAUGUAAUCCUCAUUUCUUGACCACCUUUCAUCAUUAAAUAGCCAAAUGCAUUGCAAAAAUAGGAAUGGGGAGUUCAUAGCAGAAAAUAGAGAGUGAGCUACGGGAGAGCUUGAAACUGCAGAAAUGUAACUCUUUCAUCUCCCUAGUGUUAGUUUAGCUUAGUAUAGAGUAGUGUAGCUUUUCCAUUCUUGUUUAUUAUCUAGAUUAGGAUGAAGAUGGAGGAUGAAGAAGACAAGGAAGAAAGCUCAUGUGACAAGGGUUGUAUUCCUUCUAAAUUCUUUAUCUUUUGUAUUUGAUUCCAAAUUUAGUUAAUAUACAAGUUCUGGAUUUUGUGUUCAAUAUGUGUUUCUAAAGUUUAAGCCUUGGGUUUGGUUGAACUUUCUAUAAUUGUUAGUGUUUAUUAUUUGGUUAUUUGACUGCUAUGAUUUGAGCAAGUUAUUUAGCACUUUGGCUCUUUAAAUCAUGAUUAAUCUGGUACCAUUAAUUGUGAUUAUCUAAGGUGUUGUUUCUGCAAUGAAAAUUGAGAUUUAACACUAGUUUAAGAAGUGCUAAACAUAGGGAGUACACUCACGAAAGUAGAGGUGCACUUAUGUGGUUUUUAGUGAUUCAUUUCAUGUAAUUUCAUUGAAGAAAUGAACUUGUAGCUAAUUUCAUAACCAUGAAAAUAGGUAUGGAUUAGUUAUGAGUAUAAUUGAUUCACUACGAAAGUAGGAUUCAAAUGCAUAAGGAAAUUACACCAUAAUUAGCUUAGAUGUAGUAUUCAAUGAUCCAAAUAUAGCACUUGCAUGAGUAGUUAGGGAUACCACAACCCAAGGAGCUUUCAUUUGUUAUUUUGUAUAAUUUCAGUAGGUUUAAUUUGUUAUAAUUCAUUGAUAGUCUAAAUAAUAGAGAAGCUUUAGUAGUACCGGUAAUUGCAAUCUUCCUUGUGGGAUCGACCCUUAAUACCCUAUACUCGCUCACGAUUCGUAUACUUGCGAUAAAUCGCUUGUGGGGUAUUUAGGAGUUUAUAAAUGUAAAACUUGAUUAGAAUGAGGCAAAAUUGAUAUGUAUACCCUGCGCACGUCAGGUGGUAGGAUCGGGAUCUUACUAGAAUCCCUCCAAGCAUUAGGUCUCGGUAAUGGAGCAAUUGCUGGCUCGUACGCAGCCAAAUAUGUCUCUCUCGAGUAGCAGUUGUGCACGUAGUCCUCUGGUGUGCCAUUUAUUAGUGGAAUGCAACAAACUGCAUGGCAAUAGGGUAAUCCCAUGAGCUCCCACUUUCUACACGUACAUGUGCGUCUAUCGAGAUCAACAACAUAGGUUCCACCAUAGAUAUGCUGCACUUCGAAUCUCUUGUCGUCUGAGUGUCUAGCAAUAUUGGCAGCAGCCACAAUUUUGGCCUUUUCAAGCUUUUUUUGAUUCUUUGGACAUAUUACAUCAGUUCUCUUCUUCAUCCAUUCUCUUUUUAUCCGCAUCCUAUCCAUGAGGUAAACUCUAAUGGUCUCCACCAUACCUAGGAUUGGUUUCUCUCUAGCUUCCAAGAUCACAGAAUUGAAACUCUAAUAAAGGUUAUUCAGUAGGAUAUCACACUUAGUUGUUUCUCUAAAAUGUGAUCUUGACCAUUGUGUUGGGUUUGUAUUGUCCACCAGCCACUUAUGAGUAUUGUGGUCAUACUCUUUUAAAGCAUCCAUCUCACUCUCAAAUUUGUGCAUGUAUGAUGAUCUUGCACAAGCCCAAUGUGACGCCCCACAUCUCCCUAAGGCGGACCAAAGGGUAUCCGCGGACGCCUGCCCAGCUCUCGUCAGGACUCAAGCAAUUCCAUUCAAUUUAAAAUCGGACUAAACACUUCGAAGAGAACAACAUGAAUACAAUAAUGCGGAAGCGUUCAAGCUUAUCGAGUCACUUAACAUGUAACCAGUACAUCGGGUAAUCAUAAUACGACUUAAAUUCAAAAUACACGUCAGGGCCCAAACUUUCAAAUUUACAAUUUCCAAAAGUACAACGAAUGGUUUCUCCAUACUUCUCCAAGAUUCGGUCCUGUUAAGGAAAACAAAACUAUAGGGUGAGCUAAACGCUCGUGAGGCCAAGAACACACAUGCAAGCACUUUGUUCAAAUAGCAAUCCCAAAUUUAAUAAAUAAAACCAAGUCCCUUCAAUAAUCAAUCAUUCGAACAGGAAAAGUAAUCAGAAACAAUUCAAGGAUAUAGUAGCUCUCACGAGCUAAGUUCCACUCGCUCUGCCGAUGUCAUUCGUAUACCUUCCCGCGUUGACCCUCCUAUCAACCGGGUCGGUAUUUCCAUUUCCGUAGAUCACCACUUACUUCCCUCCGUCCACCGUACACCUCAAGGGCCCACAAGUCAUGUGUAAGGCGAUACUCCACGAGUAUGCCAAGCAAGACCUCUCAUUAGGUCGAGCUCGUAUUUAUCCCAUGGCUCGCCUAAGUCCCCGACCAAGCCCAUUGCUGGCUCGAGUCUAAGGUCGGCCUAUGAGUUUGGGCGUCCCCCAUUCAUUUGAAAGUCGAGGAGGUUCACUUCAACGACAUAUGUAAUCAUAACAUAACAUUGCAUUUCAUUCAUUCAUUCAAUACAUUUCAUUCAUUCAAUACAUUUCAGUCAUUCAUUUGAAAUUAGAACGAGUGCGGUACAGUACGCACCCGCCCUUAUUUUUAAAACUUCCAACAAUUACCACAAAUAAGCAAGUAUCACAGAUUCACACACUUGACACUCACCGAGCAAUUCAAUAAGAAUUAUUUUCUGGGAGUUCAAGUGUCCACAGUAAGAUCCUCUUGAAUGUCUUCUUGCGCGCCUGGCAAUUAAUAGCGGAUAAUCACACAAAUAACCCACUUGUCAAGGAAGAUUGUACACUAGUACAAUCUAAGGAAUAUUUCACGAAAUGAACCUCAAUCACUCGUAAAUCGAGGUUCAACUUGCCUUUUAUUAUGUACAAUAUUAUUUGAGUUUUUAUCAUGAAAAACGAGGGCAAAACGUUCGAAUAAUACUAAGAGAAUUAAGAGUUUUGGAAAAACUCCUUUGCCUUGAAAAUUGAGAAAUUUCAGUUUUAUCCUAAAUCUUUGAAAAUUCGUAUCUCUCUCGAUAUAAGUCCAAAACUGGAAAACUUUAUACCGUUGGAAACCUUUUGGAAAGUGUUAAAAGUUCUUAGAAGACACCUUUCCAUGAAUCUAAAUGGAAAGUACUCAAAAAUGAGCUUGAAGAUACAGACUUGGCGUACAAGGCAGAAUUAAGUUGGAUUUCGGCCAACUUUGAAAAUUCGGCACGAUUCACAUAUUGCAAACCGGCCUCUGAAAUUUGUAACUCAAUUAGAGUUGUAAGUGAGGUUUAUAGCAAAACAAGCGGAUCAAGAAUCGGAGUUUCGAGUACCGAGAUACGGUAGCUCAAAGUUGAAGAAGAUUCAAGACUGAAGAAGAAUUUCCAGUUUUGAACCUCCAACACUAGAAAUUUAAUUCGGUAUCGAAACGAACUUGAAUUGAUGCCAAAAUUGGCAGUAUUUUACUCCUAUAUGCAAGGUAUUUCUCUAUCAAAUUUCAGGGAAAAAUACCGUCGGGAAGGUAAUUAACUAAUCAUCCAAAGUUCCGGAAAAUUUCUAAGGCAAUCUGCCUUUUGACUUUCAUUUCCCAAUUUCAAAUCGUUUAACCAAGAAAGCUAUCCAACCAUGGUUCAUUGGUGAAAUAAAGGUCUAAGAUACAUCCAUGAUACCUUUGGUAAUGGUUUAGCAUCAAAAUUUCAAUUAAUAAGAUCACUCCCAAGUUUUUGUCCCACAUUAGUCCAAAUACUACGUUUUUCCAAAACAGGGCAGUCCUCUUGUUUUGGUCACAACUCAAUCAAUUUAACUCGGAAUGAGGCAUUGUUUAUGGCGUUAGAAAAUACAUUCAUAGGACUAAAAGUUUACAGAAGAAAACGUUCUGAAAUUUGGCAAGCAACCAGCUCCAAAUUGAGCCUCAAGUUGCUGCCUCUACAAACCAUUCCAGCAAAUCCGAGAGACAGGACAGCUAUCUUAAAACAUUUGGUUCUGAUCACUCACAAAGAAUCAGAACGUGCAUUUUAUCUCAAAUUAAAUCCAGGAAUGUCUAGUUUCAAACGGUUCCGACGGCACUUGAUUUCGACACCCGAGGACAGAGUUAUGGCCAAAAUGCUACCGCUGGACAGGGUUACCCGAAAAUAAUUUUCCAGCUUGCCUAGUCCACGAAUAAAUUCAUUUGCCCAUCCAAACGUUAAUGUUUUCCAACGAAAAUUUUUACACAUAUAGUAUAACAUAUAAACAUCAGGUUCAUGCCAAUAAAUCACCAAAAAUUGGCCUUAUAGUGGCCGAACAAAACAGGGGCAGUUUCGGAAAUUUCUUGUCAUGACCUCAACUUUGAGUUUCCAACAAUAAUACUCCAUAAAUCCAUCAUUAUAACCAUUAAACUACCAUUAAAUCCAACAUUAAUCCUCUAAUCAGCGACAACAACCCAAGUGUGGGAAUACAAAGAGCCCACUUUCACAUUUUACAACCAUAUCAAGCCACCCAUCCACAUGCAAUAGCUUAAAGAUGCAUUUCUACCAUCAUAAUCCAAGUUUAAGGUAUAGGAUGAAGUUAUACCUCCUUAGUGCCUUAACCCAGAAAUUUUCGGCCCUCAAGAGUUCCAAGAAACCGUGAAAGGCAGCCCUUUAGUUAGCUAAAUCCAACCUCCAAGUAGUAUGCUAGAUGAUCUUCAAGUUUGGUGAAGAUUGGUUGAGGUUUUGGGUUGAUUUGAUGAAGGAAUUUGUGAAGCAAGAGAGUGAGUGACAGGGGGGUGUUGGCCGGCUGCUAGGUGAGAGAAGAUGGAGUGAAGUUUGAUCAAAAUUAGCUUCCAAGAGAAGAUUAAAUGGGUGGUGCACAAUCACUCCAAAGUCAACUCUUAUUAGGGCUCGUUUGGCACGUUUUAGGUUCAUUUUCUCGCGCGUUUGGUUCACUAGUGCACUGAACCUCCAAUGCAUUUAUAUUCAUGUAAGUAUUAUUCACUCUUAAUUGUCCCGAAAUAAGGGUCUAAAGUCCCUCAAAUAAAGUCACGCGUGUGAAAAUGCGUACCGUCAAUUUUAACGCUAUAACGCGAAACUUCCGAGAAAUUCUUAUAACGAUUGCACUACUAACUAUCACUUGAGUAUUUAUUCAUAAGAUUACCUAUUUUAGGACCAUAGUACAAGUCUCCAAUAUUCCAAGUUUAUUGUGCUCCUACGCGGAUAAAAUCUUCAAGCACUAUUCACUAUUUUUACUAAACGCGCUCCAGGAAAUUAAUUUUUGAAACGAAUCAUUUUAAAAAUAUAACGAAGUUAUAUUACCAUGUAUUUAGGUCUAAUAAGACUACAAAAUAUUCCUCGUGGCAAAAAUCCAAUUAAAUAAUUUAUUAAGCCAUAAAUUAGGCAUAAAAUAAUACUCCCUCCGUCCCAUUGAAAGUGUCAUGCUUUCCUUUUUGGUCUGUCCCAAAAUUAAUGUCACUUACUAUAAUUGGCAAUAAAACUUUCCCUCAUUUCCAUCUCAUGCCCUUAAAUAUAUCAGAUUCCUUUUAAGUUUUUGAUGGGUCCCAUAAAACUACAAGAGUUGCUCUAAUAUGCGUGAGACUCACCGCAAAUGCAAACAAUGGCCGUGCAAGCUACUUUCUCAAAAAAAUGGCUGGACACAUUUGUAAAGUAUGGGCCCCACACAUCUUGUCAUCCUUGCUUUUUCUUUCUGCCACUCAAUGGAGUAAUGCACGGAAGGGUAGCGCUGGAACUUAGACCAAAAUGCGACACUGUUGAAAAGAAGCUCAAGACCCGAAGUGCGACAUUCAUUUCGGGACGGAGGGAGUAGUUUUUUACGAGUCCUCACACCCAAAAUCUUACUUUUAUUGAUUCACCUGGAUACGACUUCUUCAUAUUAUUGUGUAGAUGCCUCACACAAUGGCUAUGCUCCACACCCGGAGUGACUUCAUGAAUGGCAGACCCCAAUCCCUGGAAGGGGUGUAACCAUCAAUUUUUUUUUUUAAAAAAGACAUGUUAUAUUUUCAUUAAUGGCAGCCUAGGUAACCCAAAAAACAACAAGAUUGUAAAUAUCUUUUGUCUAUCACUGAAGAAGGUCCAUGUUUUUUAUUCAUGAAUACACAAGUCAUAUUUCAACAACUCCAUGAACCACUUCCAUGAGCUCUUAUUCUCAAAUUUCACUACUGUGUAUGCAAUGGGGUAGAUUUAGUCGUUGGUAUCAAUCCCAAUAGCAGUUAACAAUACUCUCGGAUGUGGACCCCUCAAGUGGCAACCAUCUACACCAAUCAAUUGUCGACAACCGGCCCUGAAGCCUUUUUUCAAUGCUUCAAAGCAUAUGUAUAUCCUUUGAAAUCUUUCCUUACCACUUAUAUCAUCAACCGUUGUCUCCAUGUGCACUGUUGAGCCAGGAUUGCAAGCUAGCAGCUCUUCGCAGUAGUCCCACAGCUUUAUGUAUUGUUGUUUGUAACUGCCAUAGAUCAAAAGCUUGGCCUUCAUAAAGGUCUUACUCACUUGGUCUCUUGUGAUGUUCACAUUUAGCUCUAAGUGCACCUUCUCCUUAAAUUCUGUGACACUCACCCUCUUGUUUAAUCUAAGAAAGUCCAUAUAGUGUCUACUUAGGAAACCCGAAUUGGCACGCUUGUGGUGAAAAGUCCUACUGAUAGGUUGCAUUUUUGUCAUUAAUUUUAUGGUUAUUUCCCUCUUUUAUUGUACCAAAUAUUUCGUUAAUUAGUGGAUUCUACUUAUAUUUGGUAUUUGGUGCUAAUUGUAGGAAGGUGGGGCAAAAAGUGAUAAAAAAGGUUAUUUUUCAAGAGUUUUUCAAUUCAAGAUGGAGUCUAUGUGGAUUAUUGGCGGAAGAUUAGGAAAUUACCAUAUUUUCUUAGAUAUUUUAUUUAGAAAACAAUUGGCAUUAUUCUCGGAGUUACCUUUUUCAAUUAGAAUUCUAGUUUCAGUUGUCCAAGUGAGAAGCCGAAUGGGUUAUUAAUUAAUAGUCAUUAGGUAUCUUAUUACCUUGGCGGGGUUGGCCGCAAUAGCGAAGAUCGACCGCUCAGCCUUUUUGGCCAGUCUUUUGUUUUCUCUUGUUUUUCUAUUAGUCCAUCGUAUGCCGCAGGCAAUUAGGAGGAAUAUUUGUCAUUCUUUGGACUUGGUAAUUUUUCCUUGUUCUUAUUCCAUCGGAUUCAAUCAUCUCAAUUUGAAGACAAUGUACGCGCCAAUUGUUUCUAUGAUUUUGCGUGGGAUUUUCUCCACAGAGAUAAACUAAAUUUCUUUUUCUAGUCAAGGAAUAAUGGAGGUUUUGGUUCAUCUAAAAAUUGUGAGAUGAAAUUAAUUUUAUUUAUUCCUCUUAUUUACUGGUAUUUGCAUAUUCUCUGAUUGUAGUGCUUAUGGUUGUUUUAGUAAUUGAGUAUUCUGGGCUCGGACGUUGAAUUAAUUUAGCAACCUAAAUGUCAAUUAGAACGUUUGACGUGCGCGGAGUAUACAUAUACAAUUAAGCUCAUCCUAAUCAAGUUUUACAUUUAUAAACUCCUAAAUACCCCACACGCGAUUUAUCGCAAGUAUACGAAUCGUGAGCGAGUAUAGGGUAUUAAGGGUCGAUCCCACAAGGAAGAUUGCAAUUACCGGUACUACUAAAGCUUCUCUAUUAUUUAGACUAUCAAUGAAUUAUAACAAAUUAAAGCCUACUGAAAUUAUACAAGAAAAUAACAAAUGAAAGCUCCUUAGGUUGUGGUAUCCCUAACUACUCAUGCAAGUGUUAUAUUUGGAUCAUUGAGUACUACAUCUAGGCUAGUUAUGGUGUAAUUUCCUUAUGCAUUUGAAUCCUACUUUCGUAGUGAAUCAAUUAUACUUAUAACUAAUCCAUACAUAUUCUCAUGGUUAUGAAAUUAGCUACAAGUUCAUUUUUUCAAUGAAAUUACAUGAAAUGAAUCACUAAAAACCACAUAAGUGCACCUCUACUUUCGUGAGUGUACUCCCUAUGUUUAGCACUUCUUGAACUAGUGUUAAAUCUCAAUUUUCAUUGCAGAAACAACACCUUAAAUAAUCACAAUCAAUGGUACCAGAUUAAUCAUGAUUUAAAGAACCAAAGUGCUAAAUAACUUGCUCAAAUCAUAGCAAUCAAAUAACCAAAUAAUAAACACUAACAAUUAUAGAAAGUUCAACCAAACCCAAGGUAUAAACUUUAGAAACACAUAAUGAACACAAAAUCCAGAACUUGUAUAUUAAUUAAAAUUGGAAUCAAAUACAAAAGAUAAAGAAUUUGGAAGGAAUACAACCCUUGUCACAUGAGCUUUCUUCCUUGCCUUCUUCAUCCUCCAUCUUCAUCCUAAUCUAGAUAAUAAACAAGAAUGGAAAAGCUACACUACUCUAUACUAAGCUAAACUAACACUAGAGAGAUGAAAGAGCUACAUUUCUGCAGUUUCAAGCUUCUCCCGUAGCUCACUCUCUAUUUUUCUGCUAUGGACUCCAAUCUCUCCAAUCCCCUAUUUUUGCAAUGCAUUUGGCUAUUUAAUGAUGAAAGGUGGUCAAGAAAUGAGAAUUACAUCUCCCUUUUACAGCUGGGAAUGUUUCUCACAUGUCUAGCAUCCAAUGUGAGUUGGUGGAGGUGAAAUUGAUUUUUUACGCGUACAGAGCAGCCUUUUCUGACCAGUGAUCCGAGCUGCUACAGUACCUCGGAUCCGUAUGGAUCCGAGCUCGGAUCCACUAACCCAGAAACAACCGAGGGUUCCGAUGAAUAGUGGAUCCGAGUGUGGAUCACUUGCUCUGUUUUUGGCCCAACUUCAACCGAUAUUUUCUUGAUGAUAAAAGCUGAUUUAGCUCUUGACCAAAACAUAAAACUUGUAGCCCUUUGAGUUAGCUUUCCAAUGCAUCAAGAAUCACCUCAUUUGGAUCUGUGUAGGCUGAGAAAUGACUGAAAUACCCUUACCUGCUCCAUGCCUUGUUCCAGUUUCGACCAGUAGAAAUUUGCUAUUGUAAUUCGGCAUUUUGACCUGGAACACCUUCAAACUGGAUUUAGAUGUCUUCACCAAAGUUGUAGAUCUAUCUCUUAUCUUUAAAUGGGUUCAAGAAUAAUCCCAAUCCGAUCAUUGUAACUCAAGUUAUAGCCGAAAUACGAAAAUGUGUCAAAACUGUCAAAAUACACAAAAUCCAAGUAAAAAGUGAUAAAAACCUCAUUUAAUCACUUAAAAACAUUUAUUCACCAAUUAUAGCCAAAAUGAUUCAUAUUCUUCCAAUAAUAUAACCAAAGUGACUAAAAAUAAUAUAAAAUGUCAUACAAUUAUUACGUAAAUUAGUCACUUAUCAACGUUAAAUCCGUAAUUGUUUAAUUGCUUUAAAAUAGUGGCAACUGACAUGAUUCGGUUUGUGUCAGGGGAAUACGCAGACUAAUCUAAAAUAAUUCUGGUAGUGUGUUAUUUGGUUAGAAUAGGACUCCUCUAAUACGUAAGGUAAUUGGGGAAUUAAAUCUUAUGGGUGUACCUAAGAUUAUUUCCCGAUUAGAGUAGUGAUUGACGGGCGUACCUCAGUUAUCGACAUAGUAAGAAGGAGUUGACUAUCAUCGUUUGUUUGACAGUUAUAACUUAUUUAUUAGUUAAUAAUUGGAAUUAUCUCUGCGUCGAUGAUCAAUUAGGUGAACCAUUGGUAAAGUUAUUUCUUGACUAGAGUUGUCCAAUACUAUUUGAGUUUUACAGAUUGCUAUUUAAUUUUUAUUUAAUUGUAAUAUUUGAUUAGUAUAGCUUAUUGUCAAUUUUCAAAAAAUCCCCCACUGUCAAUUUGAACUUCAAAAGAGACAAAUAUCCCCAAUCCCUGAGGAUACGACCCUACUUUCCCUAUAUAUAAAUUAACAAGUUCUCGUGAAUAAAUUCUGAUAUAUCGGAUUUAGCAAACUCUUCGGAGUCAGGGUAAAUCUAAUAACCCAUUGCACAUCCAGAGUCCCUACUCCAGUACUAGAAUUGACUCGAAACUGCUUUUACUGGCAACUAGAAUUAUCAUUAUUAUUAUUGCACAGGCAUCGACAACCUGUCACCUACCACAAUUGCAAGAUGGUCCCAUGGUUCUAAUAAUAAAAGCAUCACUAUCAAUCUUUUUUGAAGCAUAAAUGAACCAGCCACAAUUUACACUAUUGCAUUUAGCCCGCAUUCUACCUAAAAUGUUUACCCCAUUUGCCUCCAUAAUAAUCAAUAGCUCGUUUAAAUAUCUGUUUAUCAUCAAAUAACAGCCCAACAAAGAAUUUUGGAUCCACCAUAUCAUGCUCAGGUCUAAACCUCACAUACCUUGGCUUUUUCCUCUUUCAAUUAUCUUCAUCCGAGGCUUCACUAUUGCUAUUUAACUCUUCAGAAUUGAUUGACUCUGAUUCUUCAUGCACUUCAAUAUUUUCUCCAUCGUAUAACUUGAAGUCACCAGUUGUAUCAUUCCUAUUUUUCUGCCUAAUGCUCCUCCAACAACCGGCUUUUUUGUUCAUUUUUUCUGCAUUCAUUCUUGCCUUCAGGAGCAACUGUUUCUAUUAUCUCCUUCGUUUUUUCAAGCUCUUUAUCAGCACCGACAACAGAUUUUUUGAAAAUGACAUCAUCUUCAUCGUCCCUAAAGUCAUAAUCAUUAUCGACCAAGCUUUCAUUUUCUGUAGAAUCUGAUUGUGCAUCUUCUUCAACACAAUAGCCAUCUUCUUCCUCUAUUAAUUCAAUUGGCACAUUGAUUUCUUCAAAUGUGGUAGACUCCUCAAACGUGAUGUCAACAUAAAAAGAAUCUUCAUUUGAUAUACCAGCCUCUCCAAUAUCCACAUUUGAGCUGCCCACUUUACUAUCAAUAAAUCUAAUGUGAAAUUCCUGCACCAAGUACACCUCAACCACACCAGUUUGCUUUCCAAUAAAGGCCAUGUCUAUAACAUUAUCCUCACUUUCUAUAUUGCGAAGUUUGAAGAUACAAUCUCCACAAGAAACUCUAUAAAGCAAUUUGACAUUUUCUUCACAUCCGACAAAAGUGCAGAAGCCAUGGAGAUGUGACAUGUUAACUACAUUCACUAUAACACCUUCAAAGGAUUCCAUAAUACCCCCCACAUACUUUUCUUGUGGUGGUCCAAAAUAUACCUCACCGUAAUACAUUUUUAGUGUAAAACAGUCUAGCUCAUGUCCUGUGUUUUUUUUUGGUACAAAAGACAAAAAAAAUUUUAAUUAGGCAUCCACAUGCUCGGUCACUAUCCUGUAACCCAAUUAAGUAGCAUGAGAACAACAACAUAGUGUUAUUUUCACAUCAAAGGGACCACCGAAACUAAAGUAAUAAGGGAGGCCACUACACAUAUCAUGCCAUACCCCACAUCUCAUAUGUACCAAAACCUUAUCAUUGAAAUUAGAAAAGGAAAAAUCUGACAACUAUAAUUCAACAACCAACCACUUAUUUCAGAUGCAAACUUCAACUUGUUAGGAAAAAUAUUAACUUCAAACACUUAUAAGUAGGCCAAGACUUACCGGAAAUCCUCACUGCCAUUCCGUCGGAGUUUCAUCCUCGAGCUUUUCCUUGCUCCACUGUGCCGUCCGUAAACCAGUUUCUUCAUUCCACUCUGUUUCCUUCAUCUUAUCUCAUUUGAUUGGUGGCAGUUUGCGUCAGAAAAAAGCCCUAAUUUUGCUCACCUAUUUUGCUUCAAAGGUUUUCCCCAAUUUGGUCCCAAAAUGGUUGAUGUCUUGCUUCCCGUAGAAAAUCGUAUUUUUUACUUCCAAAAAAGCCCCUGCCUCGCUGUUGGUUUGGGUACAAAAAUAUAUGUUUUGGGUGGUGACACCGUAUAGGUCCUCAAUUGGCACAAGAAUUUUAGUUAAAGGACUUAAUGCAUGUGAUAAAAUGUUAAGGGACCAAUCGGCUUUAGUGAAAUAGUUUGAGAACUAAAUUGGCGAUUUUCUAUAGAAUUACUGGAACUAGAAGCAAAGUAGGGUAGCCCCCUAGUGACAUUAUCACUCUUUUGCCUCAUAAAGGAGUAAAGUCUAGAUAGAUCCAUUAUGACAUUAUUGAAAGAAGAUAAAAACAAGGGAUAAUAUUAGAAACCUCCUUUGAGAUUUCUCUUAAUAUCACUUGGCACCCCUGAGGUUUUUUGAAAUAUCACUUAUCUUCCCUAAUAAUUGUAAAAAAACUAUAUUAACCCUCACUUGACACAUAAUUCACAUAUCAAAUAAAUGAAGUUUAAAAUUUUUUUAAAAAAAGUCACUUUCUUCUCUUUCCCUUUUUUCCAUCAUUCUCUCUUACUCAUUUUUUGGAUGACUAUGCAAUAUUUUAUUUGUAAACUAUAAUAAAUUAAAAUUUGUUUAUCUUUUAUUUUUUGUGAUUGUGAUGAAGUGGGGUAUGAUUAAUUUAUUUAUUUUGAGUUAAUUUUUAUAAUGAUUGGUACAAUUUAAUAGUUUAGGCAAGGAUUGAAAAGAUGUUGAAAAAAAUGUAAAUUUCAUAAGAAAUCGAUUUUAAGCAUAUGGAGUUAAAGUGGAACAAGUGUAUUUCUUUUUAAAUAUCUUUUUUUAUUUUUCAAAUUUAUAUUUUUAUGGGGCAUAGCAUUAUGAUGUGGUAGUACUUCAGGAGAUUUUUUUUAAGUGAUGGUUUUCUUGAAGUGAACAAAAUGGUUUAGAAAUAUUUUUUAUUUAGCAAGUGAAAAGGCAGUUUUGGGCUUUUAAAAAUUUUGUUAUACAAAUAACAAAAGUAAGGGAAGUGAUUUUUUUUAAAAUCUUACGGGUACCAGGUGAUAUUAAGAGAAAUAUCCGGGGAGGUUUCUGAUAUUAUCCCAAAAAAAAAGGCUAACCUAAUCAAGAUAUUCAUGCAAUUUAACAAUGUGUAAUGAAUAGUCAAAUAAUGCUGGUGAAUCGAAAGGUAACUAGCUGCUCAUGAACAAAAUCAACUAGGGUGGCCUCUCAUCCCAUUAAAACGUUUUAAAAUUUUCCAUAGAAUUAUUGGAACUAGAAGCAAGGUAGGGUAGCCCCCUAGAGACAUUGUUACUCAUUUGCCUCACAAUGGAGUAGAGUCUAGAUAUAUCCAUUAUGCCAUUAUCAAAAGAAGAUAAAAACACGGCCAUCCUAGUCAAGAUAUUUAUGCAAUUUAACAACGUGUAAUGAAUAGUCAAAUAAUGCUAGUGAAUCGAAAGGUAAGUAGCUGCUCAUGAACAUGGGUUCCGUAAGGAAUAAGUGUUUUUGGAGUUAUUAUUUAAAAUUUUUACUAUAGCAGUACAUGUAAAAAAGAAUUAGAGUAGAAUAGUUCGUGUGAAUUUUGUGUUUUUCAAAAUGUACUUUUGGUUAUUUUUAAAUUUUUAAAUUUUAUUGAGGUUGUUUAAAAAAUUUAAAAAAUUUCAUCAUUCACUAUUACCCACCAUUGUCCCUCCCUUCAUCUAUUGCCACCACCAGCCUCCCCCUCUGCUCUUUCCCUCCUCUUCCCCUUGCUUCUCCUUCGUCAUCCCCCUCUAUCUUUCCUUAUUUCCCUCCUUUUCCUUCUCUCCUCCUACAAUCUCUCCCCUUUUUAGUUGCACUGGUCCUACUUGGCAUAAUUAGAGAAGGGGAGAGAAGGGAGGAAAAAGGGAGAGGGAAAGAAUGGAAAAGAGAGGUGGGGGGAAAGCCGGAGUAAGAAAGGAAGGGAGGGAGAAAGAGAAAAAUUGAAAAAAAAAAAAAGAGAGUAGGGUGGAUGCCGACAAUUGCUGUCGGUAUUGGUGGAUGAUACUGGUGUGUGAAAGAAGAAACAAGUUUAAGAUUCAUUUUAUUUUUUAUUUUUUUAGUGUACUUGAAUGUGUGUUUUUAGAUUUGCUAUGGGAUUUGUUACCAUAAACUCUAAAAAUAGUUUGUGUAAAAAAUAGUCAAUCCAAGCACACUAUAUGAGUAAUCAGUAAGUGCAACCAAUUACUCCUAGAGUAGUUGGCUACUAAGAGAGUUUUAAGGUUCUACUUAGAUGUAAGUCAAGAAGUCAAAUUCCUUGAUUUGUAUUCUAAUCCAAGAUUUCUUGAAAAAAUUUUGCCAGCGGAUGUAUAGGUAUCCGUCUGAAUCAGUGGUGAUUCCCCUCAAGUUCUCCCCUUGAUCCUCUUGGGUCCUCCUUCUCCCCUAGUGUAGAUUAGGAGUAAGUAUAUAUUAGAAUCUAUCGUGUCUGGCAAAAAAUUUCUAAUAUAGAGUAUGAGUAGAUAUAUAUUAAAAUUGAUCGUGUCCAAUAAAAAAAAAAACAAAAAUCAAUGCGUGCGUUUUCUUUGUUUCUUGGGAUAAACUAGACUACAUUCCAUUACCUUAAAAGGGAAUCUACAGUGAUUUAAGAUGGGAGGUUGAGCUCACAUCCUUGUCAACACUUUGGCAGAUUAAUUUGCAGCGGGAAAUCGGCAUCAAUUGUCCCAAAAGUUAAAGCACUUCCUAGUUACCAAGAGUGAACAGAGAUUGAUGAGGUUUGUCCGUACAACGUCCGAAGAUUUCAUUGUCCGUCCGUACAGUUUUUGUCAGCCUCCUACCAAUAACUAGGCGGCAGCUCAGCAUCGUUGAGACAGCGUCAACUUGCUCAUGUACUCUUCUGGCCGCAGUCGGUCUGGCUCAUCGUAUUAUUAAUGACUGUGACUUUCCUUUGCCAUUUGCAUUUUCUGUGGUACGAAUUUUUCUACUUUGAGAAGAUCUCAUUGUCCUCGAUUUUGGUAUGGUUAGUUGGACCAAUGUUUCCUUUGAUUUCCUUUUUAUUUGGGAUAAUGUAUUGGUAUGUUUUUUAAAAUCUUAACCGUGAAAAUAUUCGAAAGUCAUUUACCGUGUUCUGCAAUUGGCAAAAAAUCUGAAUGUCCUUCUCCUUUUGAAUUAAUUAUUUUUUGAAGUGUUUUUGAAAUAUUUUAUAUAAUAAUUUAUAUAAAAAAAUUUUACUAUAGAUGCUUUUGAAAUAUAUUUUGGAGUAUUUUUAAAAUUUAAAAAAUAUUUAGAAUAGUUUUUAAAAAAUUAACACUACCACUCAUCACCACCACCGAUCCUCCCUCCUCCCUCUUCCUUUUCCUUCUCUCCCCUCCUUCCCUUCCCUUACCCUCCUCUCCUCUCUCCUUUUCCAUCACACCCCACCCCUCCCCUCCUUUAAUACAUGGCCUCGAUGGGCAUGGUAAGAAAUGGGAGAGGAAAGGGAAGGUGAAGGGAGGAGGAAAGGGGAGGAAAGGAAGGUGAAGGAGCAGGAAGAUGGAGGGAGAAGAAAGAGGAAUGAGGGGAUGGUGAUGAUACAUGAAAGAAGAAGAUGGUGUAAACUAUUUGCAUAUUUUUUAUUUUUUUUUGUAUAUUUAGAGUUUUUUUGAUAUAUUGUAUGGAUUUAGUGUUUCUAGAGUUAUUUUUAUUUAUGUAUUAUUGUAAUAUUAUAUAUGAAAAACUUAUUUUUCAAAAAAUGAAGAAUCCAAACAGAGUCAAUGUUCAAUUUUUAGCCAUCUAACUAUUAAACACAUAUUUUUGUCCCUCAAGCUUAUAAAAAAAUAUACUCUCCACCCAUUUUGUUAGAAAUAAUUUAAAAAAUCUCUUCUAAGAUUUAUGAUGAUAUCACUUGCUAUUCUUGAAAUAUUAGAAAUAUCACUUAAUUCCCAUAUCAGUGGAGAUGGGACCAUCGAUCACUAUCAUAGCAGAAUUGGCAAAACUAUCCUUACAACUUUAACAAGUUUUAGGCAAAACAUUAUGGAAGAUAAAAAUUUUAAGCAAAACAUGUAAAUCUUAUAUUAUAAUCAAAUUUGUAGAAAAUUCAAUAUAAGACAAUAUAAAAGAGUGGAACCGGAAGAAAUAUAUAUAUAUAUAUAUAUUGUUAAACGAUUAUUGCAAGGGUAUUUUAAUGACACAAGAGCGAGAUUGCUACAAAAGGUAUGGUUUUAUAGGUGGCUAGUGGUUAUUUUAAAACUUUAGGAGUGCCAAGUAAUGUUAACAUACAUCAAGGGUAGGGAAUAUACCCUUUUACAAGUUUGGGGAAGCAAAAGUAUGCACUUAAUAGUUAGAGGAUUAAAAGUUGACCAACUUAAUAAUUAGAGAGCCAUCCAAAUUUUUUACCGUCUGCUUUUUUAUACAUUGGAAAUUAGAGAAUGAAUAAAUGAGAAUUGAAUUGUCACGUACUUGCUAAGGAGAGCUUGAAUGUCUUUUAUUUAAAGUGGCACAUAGAGAAGGAAUAAAGGAGAACUGAGUAUGCCAUAUACUAAGAAAAGUCAAGUGCAUUUAAGCUAAAGCGGCAAUUGAACAAAGGUUAGUCUAUAGUGAUAAAAUCAAAAGUUGAGAUUUGGGGGUAAGGCUAACAAAGAUGAACAUUUGUGGUUGUUGAGGAAGUCUCCUUAAAGUUACGGUUGAUACUCUGGAAUCACGCAUUUUAGAUUCAAAUCUCCCUUUUUACUUCUUAAAUCUUAUCUUUAACUUGAUUAUAUAUAUAUAUAAACUAGUUUAGGCUGUAGUUUGGAGUCAAGCUUUGAUCAAGUGAAGAUCAAGCUUCAAUCCUUGUUAGCGUUCCUCCAUUCUUAUUCAAUAAACUUUAUUUAAACAUAUAUUGUGUUAUGAAUGAUCGGUUAAGCCACAUGAUAUUCACAUUUAUUUACUUGUUUAUAUUCUAUUUAUAUUCAUAGAUCUCAUGGCUAGUUAUACUGUCUGAUCUAUUAUUAAUGACAGUCUGACUGCGACCCACUUCCCUACUUUUCUUGUUCAUGCUUAUUAAUUUUCUUAUUAUUUUCCUGGUUUAGGGACCAACCCUCUUGCAUAUUUGUAAAAGGCUUAGAGGGUAAAAUCUAAUUUUUAGAAGGAUAUAAUUUUGACAUCUUAAGGAAAUAUAAGGCAGUUUAUUUUAUCGCCCUUCUCCUUUUUAUCUGCCAGUGACCCUAUUAACAUCUAAUGCCAGAGAAAUAUGCAUACACCCUUUUGUAUCAUCUAAUGCCAGAGAAAAAUGCAUACACCCUUUUGUAUCAUAAAAGUAUUUCGCAUGUUUGUAACUUUUCCGGAUCCUGUCUUCUAUAAAUUAGAAACUCAAAAAAAUAACAUUGUUUCUUUUUUAUUCUUUGGAGUGGCUAAUGACCCGGAAUAUGACAGUAGUUAGUAGAGAAGAUUUGACUACUUAAUUGUGAGACAAUUUUUAAAUUUAAGGAAUUAUAAAAGGAGAAGAAGACAAAAUAUAACACGUGGCCUUUAAAACCUCUACCAAUGUCCGUCCUAAUCUUGUAAUUAUUUAUUCAUUCAUUUUUUUUCUUUAUAAAACAUUGCGUCCCUUAUUCUAUGAUGAAGAAAAAAGCACAAAUUUUAACGCUACUAUAUUUUGAUCAUUUUAAUGGUAAUUCUAUAAAAUAAGAUUUGACGGCAUAAAAAGGCGGUGGGCUUUAAUAAUCAAAAAACACGUAGUCAUACACAACUUUAAUUGUUUCAUCCCUAAAAUUACCUGAAAAUUGGACCAAAACUACCUGAAAAUAGGAAGGACUAGAACAUACAAUUUGUACGUAAUAUACACAUCACCAAUUGCAAUACAAGUAGCAUUUUCAAUAUAUAUUUCAUCCAUCAAUGUAGAAGCUGCUUUUGCCUCAUAAUUAGUAAGUUCGGCGCAGCUUGAAAUAACAUGCCUUUUACAGUAGUAUAAAGAAAAGUGAGAUAAACCAUAAAAGAAGAAAAACAAGUUAUACAAAAUCAUGUAGAUUGAUAAAUUGUUCAUCUUUUUUUUGGGACAAUUUAACUAUAGGAGGUCCGAUAAACAGUUGCAUUUCUACCUCCUUUACUUAUCUCAGUGACAAGGGUUAUUGACUAAUUUUUAGUUCCACUCAUCACUCUUCAUAUUGCAAAUUCAUUUUCUCCACAAAAAUAUAAAUUGCUCAACAAAUAGGUUUGCCAUACACAAACUAAACAUUAAUGGUAGUAACACUUUUGGGAGGUGCUAAAUUAAAUCUCAUAGCCCUUCACCUUAAAUCCUCAACAUUUGGUUCAUUUAUUACUUUAUUGCUACCAUUAAAAAUUGUACAAAAUGUGAAUUUGAAAUAGAGGUUCAUAGGUUUAGGCCUUACCUAAUACAUUUAUUUUUGUUUCCAAGUUUUCCCUUACGUCGGAGUUCCCUUCCCUAUAAAGAAUUCGGGUAUUUUGUUAAAAGAUGAAGAAUGAAUUUAGUAACUUCGAUUAUCCGUCCCUAUCCAACAUCAUAAAGUUGGAAUAGAUGAUUUUUUUUUUUUGGGUAUAUAUAUAUAUAUAAAUUAAUAAUGUUAUGAGUAACAAUAGUAAUCUCUACCUUUUCUCGCAAUUCCAUAUUUUCAUUUAGGAGAAUUUUCUCCUGAAUUUUGGGAUGGCAUGCAAAUUAAGAAGAUUAACCAUGCCAAUUCACAUGAAAUGCACAAACUUUAUUCUUUAUGAAAAUGCAAACGAAUGAAUAAGCAACUUCUGAAUUUUCAAAUGCGUAUUUUACCUCUUUUUUCAGCUAAUGAAUGCGCUCCCAAAAUAAUUGGCUCCGCAGGAGAAUUGAACAUUCGAUUUUGACCAUCAAAUUCUACAUUCUGAUCAAAUCAUUUUAGAGAUGCCUAUUGCAACACGUAACUUUCUUGACCUAAUGAUGCUUAAACUUUUCUCCAGUUGACCACCUAUCUGUUGCAGUUCAUCAACAGAGGAGGAAUCUAAACCAUCUCCCAAGAACUUUCUGCAACAUACAAAAAUUAUGCUGUUUUUCAUCUCCAAAAACUGCACGAAAUUCGUGUUGUUGUACGAUAAGGAAUGAGUUGUGCUUAAAACUUAAAACGGGCCAACGUUAGGACAACAACCGUUUAGUUUCUUCAUGAAGCUCAACUUUCUUUUUUCUCAGAAUUGCAAACUCUUCUUCAAAAUUCUGCACCCAAAAAAAAAAAAAAAAGAAGCUCAGCACGAAUCAAAAGAUGUAGCAGAAUAAAUUCGAAGACAAGAUUCUUUAAGUCAAAGAAUCAGUGUUGAAUGAGAUUCCCAGAAUCAAGUGAAUGUAAGACAUUACAGCUAUUCAAUGCCAGUUCAAAGGAUCUUGGCUGCCAUUCCGAGAAAUCAAGAAAGUGAAUGCCAUGAAAAUGCUUAUUUUGGAUUUUGAACGCAAUUCAUAGGCUCAUGUAACUAAUAUUUGAUACCAGCACACAGUUAAACACUUAAUACCCGCUAUUCAAAGAAAAUGCAAAAGGUAACUUCGCAUGUGAAAAUGGAGCAUAAAACUCAACUAGGUACCAUUCAUCCCUAAAGACAAAACAAGAUAAACGUCACAAAUGGUAAACAGAUAUAGCACAACAGCACAAGAAAUUAACUCUUUAGUGGAGAGGAGAUGCCAAAAGCACGUAUAUCCAGUCAAGGGAAAGGAAAAGAUUAAAAAAAGAAAAAGAAAAAGAAGAAUUUUCUAAACACAAAUCUUUCUCCAUGAACAUAUUUAAAUAUACUCACUUAACCACAGAAGCAAAAAAGAUGCUGUUGCUACUGCUUGCAUGUAUAUGAAACAAUGGCAAGGCAAAACAAUGGAAAAAGCUUUACCGGAAUAUGCUGAUCAGUUUCUGACAUGUGCUUGUAGAGCCAUUUUUUCGCUUGGACAUAUAUUCCUGAUAAUCUUCUGGUAGCUGUACUUGUGGCACUAACGCAAUUAAAUCAUUGCACGCAAUAUUACUCAGUGAAGAAUUUUAAAAUAAAGUUUCUCAUCCUGAUUUCUGAUAUUAUAUCCGUUCAUGGAUCUAGAGACUUCAAACUAGCUAUUUUCAUCCCCAGAUUUUGUUUCUUUUCUUGUUAUCAAUAAUCUGAGAGAAUUUUCUACGGCAAAUGACCUUUUCCGUCAUUCACCAUUAACUCAUCAUCUUAUUUUGUCCAUUGCAUGUAUAAAGAACUUAUUAAGUCCUUCAACUUAUGAAUUAGGUUUCAAAAGGCUUCUAGAAAACAUUUCUUCUAACAUAAUAUCACAAUAGAAAUACGAGUUCUCCAUGGGUUAUAGAUCGAAAGAGUUAGAAGUCAAGAUCUGCAACCCUAAGUUGAUCACAAUAGACCAAGUACAUAGGAUGGAAAGAAUCCAUCCACCUUUUGCAUUAUCGAGGCAAAAUUUGAUGACCAAUUUUUUUUUUUCCUAAAUCACAUCGAGAGAAAGAGAGGACGAGGGAGAGAGAGAGAGAGAGAAACAGACAGCAAAUGGCCAGAGCUAUAGAUUCAAUAAUGAGAGAGGAAAAGAGAGAGCAAAUAGGUAUAAUUACUGACAAAUACAUCGAAAUAGACCAGGCCACUAAUAAAUCUAACGUGCCUCUAUCUUCAAGUCAAUCGAAAAACUUAAAACCACACCUGCAAGUAAUUUCACCCAUCUACACUUUCCAUCUGAUACGAUCUCUAGCUCUUUCUAUUUGUGCUCUCUCUCUCUCUCUCUCUCUCUCAACACACACACAAACACACACAUAUAUAUAUGUAUGUAUGUAUUUAUAUGUAUAUAUGUGUAUGUAUAUGUAGGUGUAUUUGUUUGUGUAGUAUAUGUGUGUGAAUAUGUGUACAUAUAUAUGUGCAAAUUUAGAAAGAAUGAAGUUGAUUACCAAAUUUUGUCCUAAUAAUGCAUUAUGUGUUAGACCCUUUCCCUUUUAUUUACUUAAUCUGUUGUGAUUAACCAAGGGUGCAGGUUUAGGCUUUAAUAAUUUUUAUCUAUUGCCCUUGGAGAACUUUCACGUCUCUCACUUGACUGGCAUCUAUCAAGCCAAUUUGGAAAGAAUUUUGCUCAGGCACCUUUUUUAAGACCCAAGAGGCAAUUCGAAAAACACAAUAGGUUCUAUUUAAACUAAAGAGACAAAAUAGGGUCAUGAGUUAAACUGUUGAAUGAGGUUAUCUAUCCACCCUUCCCAUAAAAGUAAAGAGACAUGAAAAGAAGAUGAGAACAGGCCAUUAAUUUAAAACCCAUAAAGUGUCAUAUUUAUCACUAAUACAAGACCUAAUAAGUUUGUAUUUGACAGAAAAUGUGUGACAAAAUAAAUUUUUGCAAAGAAUAAGUGAUUGACAAAUAAAUUUUUGCAAAGAAUAAGAGAUUGACAGAGAUUGAAUACUUCCUAUAGGGAGACUUUGCUCAAAGUAUCACAACUUUUAUAGUUUAGCACAGAAAGGAGCCAGUCCUUAAUACAUUACCAUCAUGUUGAUUUAGGAAUUUUAGGAAGGAAUUUCGAGUCCGAAUUAUUGUUGGUAUGAAUUUCAAUUAAAAAAAAGGAUUCCAAAUAAUUGUUGACAUAUGUAAUUACAUCAAAUUGUUUUAAACUACGAGUCAAUGAGAAAUCUUUAAAUCUUCAAAAACUGUACUCAAUAUUUAUUUCUAUUUAUAAAACACCCAAAUUCAUCAUAUACAAAAAUUAAAAUUCGAUCAGAGCAAUAUUGGAGAACCAAAUAUGAUUUAGUGAUUAAACAUUUUUUCUUGAUUCAAAACGAGGGUUCAUUUAUGAUGUUUGCAAUUCAUUUAUACCUUCAACUUCCAACCUUAUCCUUCUGAAAAUAUUUGUCAAAUUGGUGUCAUAAAAAAUUUUUCUUUCAUCAAGUUAGGUUUUUAACAAUAAAAUUUUCCGUUAUUUCCUUCUUAAAGUUGAAAGUAAGCCAAUCCAAGUAAAAUUUGUACCAACACAGCUAAUAAAAGUAAGUUACAGAAAAGCCUUGGAUCCUCAAUUGUGUCAAAUGGUACUGCCAUAUUGUCUCCACCGAAAUUAUACAUCUCAUUGGAACUUAACUUAGCAUAACAGGUUAAUUUAGGAGAUUUAGGUAAGCAAAGCUUCAAAAUAGGAGUACUCCUAUCCUGCUUAGACGUUCUCCAUGAUUAGACGUUCUCCAUGACUCCAAUAACAAGGAUGCAUUCUCUCAAUCUUGAAAGUUCGGAGGGAAUUGAGAAGGUUCCUCGUAGUACUAAUGCAUAUAGGCUGGUGUGAUUGGACAUUUUCAAAGAACAAGUACAAAAGCACAACAACUACUUACCGGCUUCAUUAUAGACAUGGUACCAUUUCCACUUGUAUUCAGUAUAGCCCCUCAUAGUCUAUGUACACAAUGUGAUCUAAGAACUACUACGCAAGGUUACUGCUUGUUGGGAUGAAAUGCUGCGUCUCAUAACAUUUGCUACUGAUUUUUAUUUUCUUUAAGUUGACAACUUGGCAUAAAACAUCAUCUCCAAAAAAAAAAAAAAGUGUUGCAGAAUUAGCACUGUUGAUGACAUUGGUACUUCCUCAAAUUGUGUGUAUCUUUGUCUAUCUAAGAUUUGCUGUGCUUCCAAGUUCCAAGGAUCUAUUAUUUGCACCUCCGGACGAAAUAAUAUCUAAACCCCUUCAGUCAAACUCAUUAAAAAACUGCACUUAUUGGUAAAAAUUGAUUUCAUAAGAACGGACAUAAAACCAGAUAAGGGAUCCCUGAUCCCUUAGCCCUGACAAAAGCUUGAGAACAUGCUUGGAAUGAUUAAUGGCCAAUCCGUUGUAAAAGUGGACAAAAAAUCUGAUUAAUAUGAUACCGUUUUGCUGAAGAGAGACAGAUAGAGAUUAUGAGCAGAUCAGUUGCGAAUGUUGAUGGUAAAUGUACCUGGAACUUGAGAGUUCAUGAAGCUACCCCCGAUCAGUGCAACUUCUGCAUCACAAAGAGCUGAGAUAGCUCAAAGGCCUUCUUGAGAACUCCCCUUCUCCUCUUUGACAAUGUCACUUGUCUGCUUGUUGCACUUUCUAUCCUCUUAAUCUGAGUUUUCCCUCUCAACAUUACGAGGUGCAAAAUUAAAUCCACCGACGACCCUGAAAGACAAAUCAAUGAUUCCAUAAAGGGUUAAAGUGCAAACAACAAAAAACACUUGAUCAAGAAAAAUCUAAAAUAAACACAUGAACAAAAAAGUUUCCAAAAAACGGCAAGAACCCGGAGGGAGUGGCACUGAUUGACCCCAAAAAAUGGAAAACCAGACAAUAUCUUUUCUGGGAAGUCUCAGAUCUGCAAGAUGGGAGAUGACAGAAGCUGGAAAAUAUUGGGUAGGCAAGACACUAGUAGAAACCCUAAAGAGAGAUUUUUUAGGCAAGAUGUACAGAGAAAUGAUAUUCUUCAAUAUCUUUGUAGUCUUUUUCUUUUUUUUUUUUUAUCUCAUAAGUCUCAAAUCUCAACCACAGAAUAAUCAGUAAAGCGCGUGUUUUCUUUCUUUCUUGGGAUAAAACUAAACGACGUUCCAUUACCAACCGAGUUUGAUGAUUUUGCCCGUACAAUUUUGGCAAGAUGUCACUGUUCGUUCGUACGGCGUCACGUGCUUGUGUACGCUUCUGGCUGCAGUCGGCUCUUACCACUUGUUAAUGACUGACUUUUCUUUGUCAUUUGCAUUUUUUGUGGUAACGAAUUUUUCUACUAUGAGAAGUGUCUCAUUAUCCUCGAUUGGUAUGGCUACUUGGGACCUGUCCUUCCUUUGAUUUUUUAUUUUUGUGGAAUAAUGUAUUGGCAUUUUUUUAAAAAAAUAUUGAUCCUGAAAAUAUUUGCAAAUCAUUUAUUGUGUUCUUCUUUUUUAAUAUAUUAGGAUCUUGAGGAUGAACAAAUGAGAAUGGAACUUGCCACAUACUCCCUAAGGAAAGCUGAAUAUCUUUCAAGACAAUGUGGCACUUAGAGAAGGAAUAAAGGAGAAUUGAGUAUGACAUAUACUGAGAAAAGAUAAAUGUAUUUCAAAACAAAGUAGCAAUUGUAUGAUGGUUAUUAGUCUGUAGUGAUAAAAUCAAAAGUUGAGUUUUGGGGCUAAAUUAAUAAGGAUGUACAUUUGAGGUUGUUGAAAAGUUCUUGAUCUAAGGCACCAUUUAGAUUGAAGGAAAGGGAAGAAAAGGAAAGGAGUGAACUCUAAUAGAAAAGAGAUGAAAGAAGAGUAAAGUGCAGUGGAUUCAAUCCAUCUUGUUUGGAUUAGAUACGAAAGAAAAAAAAUGGAAAUAUUGAAAAUAUUAUUUGGAUUAAGGAAGGAAAGGAACGUAAAGAAGCUAUCAUGCAUUUGUUACAUUUCUGUCCAUAAUUUACAAAUCUAAUUUAUAAACAUAUAGGUAUUCUAGGAAAAUUUUAAAUUCUCAUUCAUCUUAAUUUCUUUUCACUUCAUUUUUGUGCACGUUUGGAUGGAAAAGAGGCUCAUAAAAAAUAACGAGAAUGAUCCCUUUCUUUCCCUUUCUAUCCUUUCUCUCCCUUCUCAAAAUUCAAUCAAAUAUUAAAAACUUUAUCGCUUCAUUUCCUUUCUGUCUCAUCCCCUCAAAACAAACAAUGCCUAAAAGUUAAGAAUGAUACCAAAAAUUACAGGUUUUAGAUACAAAUGUUCAUCCCUGUUUUUUUUUAAAUAUAUAUUUGAGGUACCCUUGCAUAUUUGUAAGAGGCUUAUGGGUAAAAUCUAAUUUUUAGAAGGAUAUAAUUUUGACAUCUUAAGUAAAUAUAAAGCAAUUUAUCUUAUCGCCCUUUUUCUUUUUAUCUGCCAGUGACCCUAUCAACAUCUAAUGCCAGUAAAAUAUGCAUCCAACCUUUUGCAUCAUUUUAACGGUAAUUCUAUAAAAUAAGACGGCAUAAUAAGGCAGUAGGCCAAUAGGAUUUAAUAAUAAAAAAGGACGAUAUUAGAUACUUCCCUAAAAAUACCUGAAAGUUGGAUCUAUACAACAAAAGAAGUAAAGAAAACAAAUUAUACAAAGUCACGUAGAUUGAUAUAUUGUUUAUUUUUUCUUUUUUUUUUGACAAUUUUAACUAUCAGGAAGUCCGAUAAACAGCUGCGUUUCUACCUCUUUUCCUUGUUCUAGUGAUAAGAAUUGUUGACCAAUCGAUAGUUCCAACUGUCGCUCUUCGUACUGCAAAUUCAUUUUUCAAAAAAAUAUAAAUUACCAAUAAAUAGCUUUGGCAUAUGCAAACUAAACAUUAAUGGUAGUAAUACUUCUGGGGGUUGAUAAAUCUUAUAGCCCAUCAGCUUAAAUCCUCAACAUUGAUUACAUUAUUGUUACCAUUAGAACUUAUACAAUAUGUGAAUUUGAAAUAAAUGUUUGUAGUUUCAGACCUUAUCUAAUACUUUUUUUUUUUUCAAGUUUUCCCUUACAUUGGAGUUCCUUUCAAAGAAUUUGGUUAUUUUGUUAAAAAAAAAAAAAAAUUGAAUCGAUAUACUGACUUCCAGCGUCCAUACCUAUCCAACAUCAUAAAGUUGGAAUAGACUUUUUAUUUGUGGUCAUUCUAGGUAUAUAUAAAUUAAUAACGUUAUGAGUAACAAGAGUGACUUACCUUUUCCCGUAAUUCCGCAUUUUCCCUCCUAAGAAUUUUCUCCUGAAUUUGACAAGAUAUGCAAAGAAUAUUAGCCAUGCCAAUUAACAUGAAAUGCAUAAACUUUAUUUCGGACUAAAAUGUGAAUGAAAGAAUAAGCAACUCCUGAAGCUUCAAAUGCGUAUUUUACCUCUUCUUUCAGCUGAUUUAUUUCCUCGCAAGAGAAUAGGAUCUGCAAAAGAAUUGAACUUCGAUUUUGACCAUCAAAUUCUACAUUCUGAUCAUGUAAUUGUAGAGAUGUCUAUCGCAAAACGUACCUUUCUUGACCUAAUGAUUCUUAAACUUUUCUCCAACUGAUGUUCUAUUUGUUCCAACUCAUCAAUGGAGGAGGAAUCUAAACCAUCUCCCAAGAACUUUCUGCUACAUACAAAAAUUAUUAUGUUUUAAAUCACCAAAAACUGUAAGAAAUCCAUGUUGUUAUACGAUAAGGAUGAGUUCUGCUUAAAACUUGAACAAAUGUGCCAAUGUUAGGACACCACCGUUUAGUUUCUUCAAGAAGCUCAAUUUUUUUCCUCAGGAUUGCAACCUCUUCUUCAAAAUGCUGCACAAAUAAGAGUAUGCUCAGCAAGGAUCAAAAGAUUUAGCAGAAUAAAUCCGUGGGCAAGAUCUUUAAGGCAAAGAAUCAGUUGGCACUGAUCCAUGAUCUUGAAUGAGAUUCUCAGAAUCAAGAAAUCAAGUGAAUGUAAGACAUUACGGCUAUUCAAUAAUAGUUCAGAAGGAUCUUGACUGCCAUUCCGAGAAAUCAAGAAGGUGAAUGCCAAGAAAAUGCUUAUUUUGGACUUUGAACGUGAUAAUGGCUAAAUUUGUGAUCUUUUUGAAUGUGUUUCCUAUUGUUUUUGAGUCUAUUUGUAAGAUUAAUUGGUAUAAGAUUUUCAUUUUUGUCUUUAAUUUGCAUUUUAAAUUGAUAGAUGAAUUAGUUGUGAUUUUGUCAUUUUACUUGCAAAAUCUCUUUAUUUUUGUAGGUAAAAUGAUCAAACUCAAUUGGAAGCAAAAUGGUGAUCUAACAAAGCAAGAAUUAGAAACUUGAAAAAGUCACAACAAUGUCUAAAGUAGGUGAUGCGAUUCAAGGAUAUUUCUUUAAAAAAAGAAAGAGAGAGAGAAAAUCUCGAGGGUUACUCUG
rnacentral:lncRNA from 1 species